CCAUAAAAGUUGUUGAUGCAUUUGUUAGUCCAAAUGGCAUCACUAGAAACUCGUAGUAUCUAUACCGAAUCCUGAAUGCCAUCUUAAACACAUCAGCCUUCUUAACCCUCAACUGAUGAUACCCAGACCGGAGGUCAAUCUUGGAGAAAAUUGAAGCUCUUCGAAACUAGUCGAACAGAUCAUCUAUCCUCGGUAGGGGGUACUUAUUCUUUAUUGUCAACUUGUUCAAUUGUCGAUAGUCAAUACACAUACGCAUAGAGCCAUCCUUCUUUUUCACGAACAGAACGGGUGCUCCCCACGGAGACACACUAGGGCGGAUGAACUCUCAAUCCAGUAACUCUUGAAUCUGAGCCUUAAACUCCACAAGCUCUUUCAGUGCCAUCCUAUAGGGAGCGGUGGACACUAGAGCUGUACCAAGAAGGAGUUUAAUCUCAAACUCUACUUCACGAUUCGGAGGUAACCUUGAUAGCUCUUCAGGAAAAAUGUCCAGAAAGUCCUUAGCUGUCCUGAUAUCCUUAAUCGAAGAAUCCCCAAAAUCUGAAACACUGAUGUAGGCCAGAUACACUUCACAUUCCUUAAGAACUAACUUUUUGACCCUCAAUGCAGAAAUCACAUUCCAUAAGUAAUUCCGACAUUCCCUAACUACGACUACCUUACUAUUCUCCUCAGUUCUCAGUAUAACACUUUUUAUGGCACAAUCUAAGCUCACUCGGUGUUUAACCAACUAAUCCAUCCCCAGUAUCAGAUCAAAUUCUCCGAAAGACAGUUCCAUCAGAUCAGCCAGAAAAAUAGCCCAUUGAACCUCUAAAGGAACAUCUCUAAACAACUUAUUUACCCUUACCGACUAUCCCAGCAAACUCAAUACAGUCACCUCACUUGCAGUGCUCUCAACCACGAUACCCAAGUUCUCGGAUACAGUACAGGCUAUAUAGGAGUGAGUGGAUCUUAUGUCUAUCAGUGCAGUAUAAGGUACAUUAUAAAUAAAGAAUGUGCCUGUGAUAACGUCCGAAGCAUCUCCAUCCUCUUGGCAAUGUGCAGUAUAAACUAGAGCCGGUUGCCUCGCCUCAGUACGACCAGCACCUCUGUCCGGUGCUCUCUGACCACGGCCCAACCCAUUACCACCUCUGACCUGUCCACAGCCUCUCGGCGGCUGCUGAACUGCUAUCAAUGAUGGUGCAUUACAAGUACCCGGAGUUUGCAUCUGAUUAGACCUCUGCGGACACUCUCUAAUACAGUGCUCUAAUGAACCGCACCUCAAACAAGCCCUAGGUCUUUUCCAACACUUGCCCUGAUGGUGUAUACCAUAAUCAAUACACGGCGACUGUCCAGUAGCAGCAAUAGGAGCCCCAACUCUGAUCGGCCUACCAACUCUGGCCUUUUUCUUAUACUUCUGAACGAAACUCGAAGGCUCUGAAUCCCUCUUACUCCUACCUCUCUCGAUUCUGGUGCUCAGCGUGCUUCACUUCUUUGGUGAUCUUCACAUUAUCAACCAUUACAGUAAAGUAUCGCUUCCUCUGCAGAGCUAUCAGAACCCUCAGAUUAUCCCUGAGGCCAUCAUCGAAGCGAACACAUUGCUCAUACUCAGUCGCCACCAUACCUCACGCAUAGCGGCUCAAUCUUAGAAAUUCAACCUCAUACUCGACCACCAAUCUAUCCCUCUGAUUCAAAUUCAGGAACUCUCUCUUACGAGCAUCCACAUAACUGGCUCCCAUAUACUUUCCCUAGAAAGCGGUCUUAAAGAACUCCCAGGUCAGUCGAUCAGGCUGAAUGCCCUCCUUAACAGUAAGCCACCACUGAUAUGCCUCAUCACGUAGCAGUGAUACACCACCCUUUAAUUUCUAAUCAGGAGUGCAGUCCAGGUCGUCCAUAAUCCUCUUUAUGGCCUCUAUCCAGUACUUAGCCACAUUAAGGGAAACUCUUGUAAUACCCCUGAAAAGCUCAGCCCCAUUAGAUCGAAGUCGUUCCGUAACUGACCCACAGCCUCCGCUCUAAAAUUAGGCCCAACGACCCUCUUUAAAAUCCUCAACAUAGCCUGGGACAGAGCGUCGUCUCCAGCCACUCGAUCAUGAGACUCAAUCUCAGUUACAGAUGAAGUCAGUGUCUCACUAGUAUUCAAAUUAGGUAGAUUACCAGAUCACGAAGACCCAGCUUGAGUGCCCUUACGGCCUCUACCAUGGCCUCUUGUACCCCAUCCACGAGUACCUCUGGUACUCAUUAUCUAAUUGUGUUUUAUUUGUAUUAACAGUUUUAUGCAUCAGUUUACAGUUCCAAUGUUUAUUAACAGAUAUUUUAUGAAAAUAGUAUUAGAAGUGUAAAGUUUAUUUCGCACAUCGCAGUGUCAAUCAAUGUCUGUCAGUUUUACUACAGUCUCGGUAUACCCUAUUUUGGUGUUUUCAGUACAGUCUAUCUAUAGUAGUCUCAGUAUAUAUUACCUAUAGCAGUAUCAGGAUAUACUAUCAAAAACAAUUUCAGAAUAAUUCACAGGUUCAGAAAAACUUACCAGAUCAACGCCGGAGACUUGGUGUACCACACUUCCAGUAACAAUAUUUAAAAAUCAGUUCUCAAAAAAUCACGUCUUAAAAACCUAUAUCCACAGUCGAGUUUUGAAACCUGGCUCUGAUACCAUUAAAUGUAACACCCUAAACUCAGCCUAGACGUUAUGGUCAAAUCUGACGAUGUCAUAUAGUAGUGCUUUUCGAAAAGUAUGUCGUUGCGAAAUCCGCUUUUCUAUUUAACCUUUUUUCAUUAUCUUAUGUUAAUUUCAAAUCAUGUCGUUUGUUUUCAAAACAUUAACCAUUUUCAAAUUGGUAUUCAAUUUCCAAAAUAUUUUUCAUUGCGGAAGCUUUUAAACAGUUUGCGUGCUCGUGGUGUUUUGAUAAAACAUCUAUUUCAUUUGAAAACCCGAGUUUUACAUAUCACUACCAUAUUUAAGUCAUAAAACUGUAUAAAAUCUAAAUUUAAUCCAAAAUCUGUAAAGGCCAUAAUUACAGUAAAAUACCCCCAAAUAAAAGUAAAAUUAUGAAUAGCCAAUAAACAGUGUAAAAAAAGUAAUGCGGCCACCACUAAGUCCUCCGCUGCAUCGACCUACCUACAUUUAGGGAUUACCUGUAUAGAUUAAAUAGAAGGUGUGAGUUUACCUAAACUCAAUGUGUAAUCCACAUGCAAAUGAAUAGACAGCAACCAGAUAAUCACAGCCUAGGCUUAAUCCAUUUUCAGUAUCAGUAUUAGUCCAGUUUAGGCCUUAACCCAUCUCAGUACAAAAAUAGUCAUGCAGUAGGGAUUUAGCCCAUCACAGUAUCAGUAGCAGUAACAUAUAUGCAGUUACAGAAAUCCUACUCAUUCAGCCUCUACACACCAUCUUUAUCCAACCCUACACUCCAUGUGAUUACACUCCAAGUAGUACCAAUGAGGCACUAGACAGUAGUUUACAGCUGUGCUGCCAGUAAAUUAGGCUCAAAGCCUUUCAGUACACUUCCUCAGAACAAUAUCAACCUCCAACCCAAUGCAAUGCAAUAUACAGUUAUGACAUGCUUUAACAUGGUAACAGUACAUAGAAUAUUAGUUUAGUGAAACAUCAUCACGCUCGAUAACAUAUAUACAUAUACAUCAGUCAUACAGUCAUUUCAUUCAAUUAGGGGUCUAGGUAAGCUUACUGACCCUACUGUAGGUUCAUAGUCGUCUUAGGCGACCAGUGCAACCUUGGCAACAAAUCAGUAAAAAUGGGCUCACACGCCCAUGUUGUCUGCCCGUGUGGGCUCACACGGCCUGAAUUGGUCUUGAUUCACACGACCUAGCCCAGAAUCCCACAUACCCGUGUGGCUUACCCGUGUGGGUCCACACGGCCUAAAUCAAUCGAGCUCGUGUGUCGUACACAGCCUACCUGGCUAUUACACAACCAUGUCUAAUGCGCACGGCCUGGCCUUGUCAAUUACAUACCCGUGUUAUGACACACAGCCUACCACACAGGCAACCACACGCCCAUUUUGUGUCAAUAGUAAUGUUUUCAGCUUUCAUCGAAACCUCAUUUUCUAUGCAAUCGAGUACACACCUGGUUCCAAUUGAUGCUAAACCAGUCCCCGAGCACUCCAGAACCUAUAAUUGACCAAUUUCACUCAGUUUAUGAUUUAAUCAAAUGGACUAAACUAAACCCAAAACGGAAUAUUCAUCUCUCAAGCGAAAAAAAGACAUUACCUUCCAUCAAAGAACGGGAAUUCCAUGCCCUUAGAACGCUGAUGAAUGAUAAUCAGCCCUUCGAUUAACACCUAUAAACCAGUCAACCCUUCUUUAACUAAUAUUCAAAAGAAAACGUUAAGAUCAAUCGGAAACCAAACUUACCAAACGAUCAAGAUUACGCGCAGCAUAAAAAAAGAGGUGAACUUGAAUAAAACCACAAAAAUGAGAGGGAGGGAGAGAUGGAAUUUCAACAAAGAGAGGGGGAGAAGAGAACAGAGUUUUGCAAAAAGAGAAAACUGAUAGAAUAAUUCUGAUAACCCCCUAUCCUAACUUCCCUUACUUUUCUUCAUCCAGCACCCCACUACUUAAAGUCCAACCACAGCACAACUCUUGCCGAGAAUUAGACAAAAAUAAUACUAUAAUCUAUCCCUUACCAACGCAGAGAAUCGAACACAGGACCUCCAACACUCCAACACUCCACUUAACCACCAGACCAGUAAGCCCAUUUUGUUAACUAUUUACCAAUUAUUAAACUUAAGCCCUUUAGGCCAGGUUAAGGCUUGAUUUAGAAGAAAAACAAUUUUUUUCCCAAAACAUAGCUCGAACUUAGAACCUCUCACACACACCCAGAACACUUAACUACUGAAGCAGAUACACAGUUGUGUCAAAAUUCACAAACGCCGAAAUUAAAAAAAAAUUUUGGGACGUUACAACUUGCCACUGAUAAUUAUUCAGUGAAAUUUCAUCUAUAAACUCAUAAGCUGCUUCAGGUGUUUUGUUAUUUAAAGUCCCACUGAUGGCUACAUCGAUCAAUUGCCUAGUUAAGGGGUUCAAACUGUUGUAAAAAUUUUGAACCUGUAACCAUAGAGGUAACCUAUGGUGAGGGCACCUUCUCAAUAAAUCCUUAUACCUCUCUCAUGCAUCAUAAAGGGUCUCGAAAUCCAUUUGUACAAAGGAAGAGAUAUCAUUCCUUAGCUUAGCUGUCUUAGUCGGUGGAAAGUACUUUAACAAAAAUUUCUCGGUCAUUUGCUCCCAUGUAGUGAUAGAACAUUAUGGUAGGGAGUUCAACCACUGUUUAGCCUUAUUCCUCAACAAGAAAGAAAACAACCAAGGGUGAAUAGCAUCAUUAGAAACGCCAUUUAUCUUAAAAGUGUCGCAGAAUUCUAGGAAAUUAGCCAAAUGAGUAUUUGGAUCUUCAUCCUACAAACCAUCAAACUGAACAAACUAUUGAAUCAUUUAAAAAGUGUUAGGUUUCAGUUCAAAAUUAUUUGCAGCAAUAGCAGCUCUAACAAUACUCGAUUCAGCCUCAGUUAAAUUAGGCUUGGCAUAAUCGUACAUAGUACGAGGAGCAGGGUUUGCAUUUGCAGGAUUCGCAGUAAGUAGCUGAUUAUUCUAAUUUUCUGCCAUCUCCUCAGUAUUAAUAACUUUCUCUUACCCUUCUAUUGUACUUUUUCGGCUUUGCCUUACUUCUCUCUAAUUUUUGCGAGCUGUACUUUCAAUUUCGCUGUAAAAAAAAGGUGGUCCCGACGAGUUUCUUCUAGUUAUAAACUAAAUAAACCUGCCAGAAGCAAAAAACUAAAGGAACCUGCCAGAAGCAAAUAAAAGAAAAAUUAGAAAAUAAGAAAAAAAUAAAAUACAAUAAAAAUAAAAAUGGCUAAAGUAAUAAAAAUUAAGUGUUACUAAUAUUUUAGUCCUUGGCAACGGCACCAAAGGCUUGAUGAUGAUUCACUUAACUAACUAAAAUCACGACAAAGGCAAGUGCACCUAUCGAAUAAUAGUAUAGCUGGUGAGUCGGGAAUAUCGUAUCCACGAGGACUAAAAGUACUGGUAAUUACUAUCUUUUUAUUAUCUAGCCUAUAAAUUGAAGGGUUGUUUUUAAUCUAAAAUUAAACUAAUUACUAAGAACUUGAUAGAGAAUAAAGUAAGAAAAUAAUCGAAUAAACUCAUAUGAGAGGCAAUAUCCAGGAAAUAAUCCACCUAGAGUUCACUUAUUAUUCUGAAUCUGAAUUAAACUAUUUAUUCACUUGCCUUAAUCCGUAGAAAUCCCUAAUUUAUAUUAAUAUCUCUUUUGAGAGUAAAAAUAACUGACUCUAGGUUGAUUAAUUGAAAUCUCUUUCUAAUUAAAACCCCUAUUGUCGCAUUAACUCGAUCUAUGGAUUCCCUUAUUAGAUUUGACUCUAAUCCAGUAGAUUUAUGUCGUCUAUUUCUAGAAUUACAUGUAACUCCACUCAAUUAUGCCAGAUCCACUCUUAAACAAUGACUUGCUCCACUGAAUUAAGCAUAUCAAUCAUGAAUUAAUAUCCUGAAAACAUUAAAACAUGGAAUAAGUACACAUAAUUGAGAUCAAGAAAUCAAGUAUUUAUCAUGUAAUUCAGAAAAUUAAAUAACAAGAUCCAUCAUAGGUUUCAUCUUCCUUAGAUAUCUAGAGGGUUUAGUUCAUACUUUUGGGGGAAAACAUCUCAAAAUUAGGAAAACAACAAAACAUAAAGAACCUAAAAACUUCUAAAUAAGUUGACUGGAGAUUUUCAAUCUUGAAGGAGAUCAUGCUUUUGAGUUGAUUCCGAUUGCGUUCUCCGAGUAAUUUCUUCUUUCUUCUCUACAUGCUCUCUUAGGUCCUCUUCUAGUGUGUAUUUAUAAACGUUAGAAUGCUCAGAAACCCUAAAAAUUGGUUUUUCUUAGGUAUCUGGGAAAUAGGGUUCGAAAUCGACACGAGCUGUACAUAGGAGUGUGGCCAGCCCAUGUGGGAAUAGCCAGGCCGUAUGGAUCUUGAAAGUAGCUUGUUUUGUUCGAUUUUGGCCCGUUUUCUGCUUCUUUUGCUCCCCUAUGCUCUCUUAAGUAUAGAAACAUAAAAUUAAAGGAUUAGGAGCAUCAAAUUUACUAAAUUACAUAAUAAAUCAUCCAAAAACAUGCUAAGCAUGGGAUUAAAACAUGUUACUUUUAUGGUUUAUCACCUUGUGAUGUUGACAAUAUGGUUUUUGGCUUUGCGUUGUUCACUAAAUUUUCAAAAAUAAAAUUACACACUUUAUCGAAAUUGGAAAAUGAUGUUAUGACAUACUUCUAAUCCCCAAAAAUCAACAUCCAAAAUGAACCAAUCAAUAAAAACACACUAAAAUCCAAUCAUUAUUUUGGCUACAAGCAUAAAACAUUUGACCUUAACAUUAAAACCAGCCCUUUUUAGGCGUUAGAAUACUUACCUUUUAAAGCAUAGUUUUUUUUCCCAGCAUACUUAAUUCGACGGAGAAGUACAUACCUCAUGAUUCACACCGAACAAAUCACAUGAGAACGAUAAGAUAUCCACCACUACACAGAAUCGAAAACAUUAUCCUCAUGAACUGAGCGAUUAACCCAUAUAUCACAAAAAAAGGUACGUUGAUCAAACUAGUUCCCUUACAAUGCGUAGCUCGCAACGAAACAUAAGAGAAUGUUGGUAAAGAUCAAAUUAAUGGUAGAAUAGAAGGAAAAACGAAAAAUGAUCUAGAUCGAGAAAUAGUAGAACAACAAAUUGAUAACGUUCAAAUAUGGGAAUAACAAAUGAAAAAGAAACUAUCCAUUAAAUUUGUUUGUUAUCCAUAUCAACUACUCAAAUUUUGACCAUAUGGGCAGCAUAGACAAAGACAAAGCAAAAAUAAUUUCGCUUUGCACACACGAGAUUCAAUUAUGGGAUCUUUGGGUAAGCUGAAGCUUUAUCACUGAACCAAUAAACUCAUUCUUGUUAAUAGUUGAGCAAGAAUAAUAAUACGUUAUAUAUUUAAAGUUAGGAGUUGGAACAAAAAUAAUAAAAAUUCAAAGGUAGGGAUUUGAACACAAGACCUCAAGCAUAUAAACAAAACACAUAUCCACUGAACCAAAUUAAUUUACUUAACAAGAUUUAACAAUUUUAAAAAGGAACUUUGGAGCGUUUCAAUUGUGUUAAUAGUAUUCUCAACAAAUGAACCUAAUUUUUCAUAUAAAACCUAACAAAUAAUUAACAAAUAAAAAGAAUUAUGAAAAAGCUUCCUACAAGCCUUUUUUUUUCAAAUCAUCAUCUUUUGCAUUCUUGGCAACUAGAAGAAUCGUGUAAUAAUAUGUACCCAUCUCUAAGCAUAAAUUUUAUUGUAAAAUUUAUCUUCAUCUAAUUUUUGUUGCAAUUUAUUUAGAAAAAUAUGUAAAUUUUUUGGGUCUUCGACUUUUCUAACAUGUUUUAGAUUUUUUUUAUUUUUGUAAUUUUUUAUCUUUUUAGCUACAUAUAUUUUUAUAAUGUAUAAUUUCUUUUAUAUUUUAAAUUUUUUAUGUAAUUUUAUAUAUUUGUGACUAAAUUAAAAAUUUUCAUAGUUGAGUGAUCAAAAUAGAAACAUGCUAAUAGUUGUGUGACUAAUUUUAUAGUUUACCUUUUCAAAAUUCAAAAAGUAUAAUAACUAAAGGUGAUCAAAUUGAAGAAUGUGUCUAAAUCUACAAUUCUUGCAUAAUACGAGACUAAUAGCAAAAUUUGACUUAAUAGAUUUAACCGCUACGAUUUAGAUCAAUAUUGAAAUUUCAAAAAUAAAAAUAAAUAUAAAGACUAAAAUUGACUAAAUCAUAGUAGAAUAAUUAAAUGUGAAACUCUCGCAUGUUGUACAAGACUAAUAAUAUAAUUUUGACUUUCAAAUAGUGGUAAAAGUACCACAAAACUCCCUAUUAUAUCUUGGAUUACAUUUUAGUCUCUCUAUCGAAAAAUGGACAAAUUAGUUCAUGUACGUUAGGUGAGUGAGCAAAAUAACUUAUCGAUUAAAAUUGCAUCGUUAAAGGUUUGUUUUGGUGUUUAUAUGCAAGGUAUAAUAAUAAAUUUAGCCUUGAACCUUAACACAUUAUUCAAUUUGAUCCCCACUCUUUUAUUAGAAGUAAAUUAAAAUUUUUCGAAACUAAUAAAGCUAAAGGAUCAAAAAAGCCUUAGCAACAAUUUAAAAAAAAAUCAAUUAAGCCUUUUUAAAUUUUAAAGAUUAAUAAAAAAAAUUAUAAAAAAUUAUGAACAAAAUUUAUAAAAUAAAGGUUAUAAAAAUUUAAAAUUUAUAUUUUUAUUAAAAAAUAACAAUAGAGGUCCAAAAAAUAUUAGGGUCAAUUUUUUUAAAAUCUUAUAACGAUUAGAUUUUAACGGUUUGGUAUUGUUAUUGUUUAAUACAAAAUUAAAAAAUUUGUUUAUACUUUUUAUGAUUUUUUAAAUUUUAAAAGAGCUUAUUUUUUUAUUUUUUUUGUGUGUGUGUGGUGUACAUGGAUUAUGGUCUUUUUGACCCUUUAGCUUUAUUAGUUUCAAAAUUUUCUAAUUUACUUUCAAUAAAAGAUUAAGGGUCAAAUUGAAUAAAUAUGUAAAGGUUAAGUGUUAAAUCUAUUAUUAUAUCCAGGGGCAUAGCCAAGGGGUUAGCAUGACCCCCUAAAAUAGAAAAUUUUUCAUUUAGGCCCUUUAAAAUUUUUAAAAUUUUAAAUUAGUAAAGGUAAAAUUACACUUUAGCCCAUCAAAAAAUAACAAGUUUGAUUUAAUCCUUUAAAAAUUAUAAAUAUAUAUGUUAUUCAAAUAGUAAAAUUAUAUUUUUACUAUCGUAAAAACUAAAAUUUAAUUUCGGCCUCUCUAAAAAGUUUUUUUGCCUUUGCCCCUGAUUAUAUCUUAUAUAUAAACAUCAAAUUUAAACGGAAGAAUUAUUCUGCUCCCUCAACUAAUGUAUACGGAUUAAUUUAGCAAUUUUUUUAGUAAAGGGACUAAAAUGUAAUAUAGAUUAUAGUAGAAUGGGUUUUGUGGUAGUUUUACCUCAAAUGGCAUAUCAACAUCAUUAUGAAUUAUGAACCGCGUGAUGAAACGUGGCAACUAUAGGGUGUCGGUGGGAUUGGCUUUUGUCUAUGUCACCUGCCUGUGACACUCAACAUUUCCCUUCCCCUUUUACAUCCUUCUUUGCUAAGUCAGUGCAUGCAAACAUUUAAUAUAUCUCAGCAUUUACAUUUAACUUAAAAUAUUACUACGUAUUUACUUUUUUUUAAAAAUAACCCAUAAUACUGUAGAAAGGGAAAACGUUAUUGGGAGUAACAAUGAAAGACCUAACUUUCUACUGCAUUAAAGAAAACCCCCUUCGCACGUGGUUUAAAUUUUUUUCUGGAAAAUAGUGAUUAAUAAUAUUUUAUUUUAAAAGUAAUAAAUGGAAAAAUAAAGUUAUUGCUGGCAUUGGUUUGACAGCGGAGCGGAGCGGAGCUGAACUAGAACACAGCCACAUCCACGUGGUGCUAAUCAAUGUGUUCACAACUCCCUAUGGCUGUAGUUCGAAGUUCAUAAAGUGGAUCUUUACUUAAAAUCACAAACUAAAAAUGUUAAAAAAGUUAUAAGGCUAUAUUCCAGUGUAAUUUUUUCUUUAUAUAUAAAAGAUAUCAAAACAUAAAAACAUUCUUAAAAUUAUAUAAUUUAUUUUGUAAAAUCAUAACUUAACUUAGUUGGUAUCGAGAUAAUUCGUGACACUAACUUAAUUACGAGCUUAAUAUAUAAUAUAGAUAUACAUAGGAGGCAUAUAAGGAUAAUUAUCUAGUACACUUAUUCUAAAGUUUUUUAACUCUACAAACAAGAUAUGCAUAAAAACUUAUUUAGCCCUCUAAUUUUAAAAAAAAAUUAUUUUAGCCAUUAAUUUAAUUUUUCACCUUUUUUAACUUCUGAACUUACAUUGUUUGUUAAAUCACCCUAUAAUAGAUGGAAAAUUUAAUGUUUGUUAACUUUGUUAACAUAGUAUAUACGUGGAUUGCUACAUUAGCAAUUAAUUAUUUUUUAAAUUUUAAAAAUAUAAAAUUUUAAAAUUUUAAAAAAUAAUUAAUUGCUAAUAUUACAUACAUGUGGAUGUCAUGUCAUUAAAGUUAACAAACGAUAAUUUUUCUACUUAUUUUAGGGUGAUUGGACAAAUAAUACAAGUUGAAUGAGUAAAAGAUAAAAAAAUUACUAAAAUGAUUUUUUAUUCAGAAUGCUAAUAGGAUAUUUGAAUUUAAAAGGUUAAAAACUAUCAUCAAUGUAUCAAUUAAUAAUUAAUAAUAAAUGUAAUAUAAAAGCAAUAAAAAUUAUGAAAAUUAUAUAAUAUUAAUCAUCGAUUUAUAAAAGAUUAUAUAAAUGCAUAACUAUAACUAGAAAUCAAAUCAGAUGUGUAUGUGUAUGAAAACCAUGUAUUUAAAACACAAUUGUGUGUUUUAAAAUUACAUAUAAUUAAUAACGAAAUAUAUAGUUUGAAACUAAUAAAUCAAUAUAUACAACUUAUAGAGAUAAUAAAGUACGCAUAAUAUAAUUAAAAUAUAUAUAUUAUAUCAAAAUAAAACUUUAGUUUAGUAAUAAAAUUAAUAUUUUAUUGAUGUAAAUAGCAUAGGUUCAGAUUUAAUUUCAUCCAAAAAUUUUAUUAAAUUUUUUAAAGAUUAAAAAUAUUAAAAUAUCUUCAAAUAAUAUAACUUAAACUUAAUUAUUAAAAGAUAUUUUCAUAACUUCCAAUAAAAAAAUAUUAUUUAAUAAAUUCUUCAAGCAUGUUAUAAAAGAAAAGAAAGAAAAAAUGCGUUGAGAACUUUCAUAGUAAUUAUACUUCCAUCUUUCUCGCUAAAGUAUGAUUGUAUGAUCCUACUUUGUUUGAAAUUACUGUGUUAGAACACCAAAUGAAGCUUAAGUAAUUGGGACAUUUUAAUGUGCAUCAUAAUUCAUCUUUUAUACAAAAUGUGAUUCGCUAUAAAGUGGUGAUUUAGGGUCUACAGUGUUAUUAUAUAAAGUUCUUUUUCCUUUUGGAAUAAAGUGGGAAAAAGAAAAGAGAAGGAAUAUAAGGAAUGGGUAAAAAAUCCCACAACAAAACAAUUUUCAUUAUUGUAUCAAAUCAAGAAGAAAAGUAAAAGUUACUGAUCUCAUUUAGUGCUACAAAAUUCAUGGUAAUCAUUGCAAUUUCUAGUUUGGUCAAUGGUUGAAUUUGUUAUAUAUUUAAUUUUUAAUUUUAUACUUCAUCUUCAAAAGUGUUAUGCAUAUAUCCAUCUACACCUAUUAUUCUUUCUCUAUCAACACCUAAAUCAAAUUAAAUUUAAACAAUAUUUAUUUGGGUUAUGAUUCCUCCUCACGUAUUAUCAUGAAGCUUAAGACCUCAUCUAAGAUAGAACAAAUGUUUAAAUUUUGAAAAUAUCAUUAUUAAAAAAAAACAACUAUAAACUUCAAAAUAAACAAUAUAUAUGUAUAAUACUUAAGGCCUCAUUAACAAAAUAAUAUUAUCUUAAUUUAAGAUAACUACUAAAGAAUUAUGAAGUACCCAAAGAAAAUAUAAAAUUGUGAAUUAGAUUUUUCAUUUUCAACUAACAGUUUUAGCUCAUUACCAAGUAGAAGAUGCGGAUUAUUUGGUCAUGCAACCUGCUACCAAAUUCAUAAUUUAAUUAUUUUUAGAAUCUAACUCCAUGAAAAAUUGCAAAAUAAAACUAUAUCAUUUUAAUAUACAUAUUUAUUUAUUCUUUUCUUUCCUGUCUCAUACCAACCGGACAUUUUUGUUUAAUAUCAUUUCUUCACUCUAAACCCUACUUUCUUUUUACUACAAAAUUUAUAAAAUAAAUAUAAUUUAUAUGGUGUAUAAAAAUGGAUUGAUGGUUAUUUAAUUAGAGAUAAAUACCAAAAGUCGAAAUUAAAUUAUAAUUUUUACUAUAGUAAAAAUAUAAUUUUACUAUUUUAAUAGUUUAUAUCUUUAUAAUUUUUAAAAAAUUAAAUCAAAUUUUUACCAUUUUUAAGAGUCAAAAUAUAAUUUUAUCUUUAUUAAUUUAAAAUAUUAAAAUACCUAAAUAAAAAUUUUCUAUUUUAAAAGGUCAAAGCCUUGUCCAUCCUCCCUGACCAAUGCUAAAAUAAAUUUCUAUAUAAUGUGCAAUAUUAUAUAUAAAUUUUAAUUUUAUACAUUAAAUUUUAAUUUAAUUUCACUAAUCAAUAGUAAUAUUAUCGAAUAAGUACAAUUUUAUAUUAAUAUAUUUCUUAUACGAAUAAUAUAUUAAUCAAAUAUAAAAAUAAAUAUUUGCAUUUAAUUAUUUAAAUGUGUUAAUUAAAUUAAAAUUGAAAUUUUAUGUAUACAUAUUAACCAUAAUUCAAGUUCCAAGUGUAUAAUUGCACAAAUUUAAAAUUAAUGUAUCAAGUUAUAUAUUGAAUCAAAAUUCAUAUAUACAUUUGAUAUUUAUCUCAUUUAAUUAUUAUAUAAAUCUACUACAAUUAUUCUACUUCAUAAUCGGAUAAGUAAUUAAAAAUAGAGAAAAUUAGACUCAAUUGAUUCGGUCCAAUCUCUUAUUUCGAAUCCAUAACUCGCUUUGUAACCACUAAACAAAUAAUUAUACUUUGAUUAAUUAGAGAAACAAAAGAAAAAAAAAAAGAGAAAACUUGUUUAUUUGUUAUUUGGCUAAGAAAUCCCUAUAAUCUAAAAAUAUUUAUACAUCAAAAUCAAAAUUUUACUAUAAAAAAUAACAAAAUUAUAAUUCCUUUUUUUAUUUUCUAAAAACUAAAUAAAUUUUUUUCCUUUACUAACAAUCCCUAUAAACGUUAGAAUUUGUUUCACAUAAACAUAUUAGCUUCAUAAUUAUGGAAUUAAGAUCAUGACUGCUAUUACCGCGUUGGAUUAUUGAAUAAUCAGCAGUUGAGUUGGAGCUCGAACUCAUGAGUGAACUCGCUUCCUGAAUUGACUCCGUCGAUGUGAUCAAAUCCACAUUCUUCAGUAAAUACCCGUUCCCGACGAGUUGACUCAAGAUUUCUGACUCCGAUAUCGAGUUCUUCUUCUUAUGCUGCAUUGUAGCUCUGACGAUCUCCGUCAACAUUGCAUUGGCUAGUCUCCGAAUCCCUCUAGCUCCACCCAUCAGAAUAGCUGAGUUGACUUGCAAAUGGGACUGAGUUUUAUCCGAGUUCCUCUUGCUGUGCUUCCCACCGGAGCUGCUUUCCUUUGUUAACAAAUAAACCGAUUCGGGACUCCUAUUCCUGACACGGCCGAGUGGGUCACUCAGUAACAUCAAACUUUUAACAUCCACUAACGUUAUAUGCUUAAAAUUUCGCCUGAUUCUCCCCAAUAACAUCGGAUAACAAGCCCAUCUUCUAAAACUCAUCGGAACGUGAUCUAAAAACCCAGCCAGCGAGUUCUCUGGAUCCAACUCGUUCACAUCGAAUCCCACUACCGAGCCGUAAGUCAACCGAGUUGACUCACCUUCAGCUUCAGUUGAAUUGCCGGAAUUCCCUCGACCCUUCUUUCCCCAAAUAGUCUCCCCAACAUCUUUUUUCCCAGAUUUCCAAAACUGGGCCGACUCGAAACUAAAGACCGAGUCACGAGAACCCUUGUUAUUGGAAGCUUUAUAGUGUUGAAUAAGAUUGAAGAACGAGUCGUUCUCUUCAUGAAUAACAAGGUUAAAUCUCGAAGACGAAGACCCAAAAAGAAAAACAAUGUCGGCUUUCGAAGUAAUACCAGACCUAUGCAAGACUCGUAAGAAAAGCCUGAGUUCAUCUUCGGUCACAUCUUCAACAACAUGGCUGACAAUAAGAUCGUUCAUGGCUUUCGUCCCACGUCUGUACAAAGUUCCCAUCCUUUGUAAAGCAAACGAAGAUGGCAAAACCCCAGGGUUUUUCUUAACAUUAAGUGGUUUGUUAUAAUCCCACAAGGGGAAAAACCAUUUCAAAGGAGGAGGAGGAGGAAAUUGGGUCUUUUGAGAUAAGAACCGACGAGAGUUUUUAAUGGUGGGAGAAGGAAUAAAAGAUGGUGUGGAAAUGGAAGGUUCAAAAGUAGAGAGAGUGAAGAGAAGAAUCGUGAGGAAAACCAAAACAAGGCAAAUGGAAAUAGUGGAUUGAGCUUUAGAGAAAAGGAGACUGGAAGAAGCUGUUCUUCGAACAAAUCUUGUUGACGGUGGCGUCGUCGUGGUGGUGGUUUGGUUAUCAACGGAAGAAUUAGUGAUUUUGUUUUGGUCGCCAUGGAAGAACACCAAGAGUAAACCCAUGCCUUUGCUUUCUUUGUUGCCGUUGGCUGCUGCAAACCCCAUUUUUUUUUUUUUUACUUUCUUUGCUUUUUCACAUCGUUUGAUGGCCCCCUUUGGCUUUUUUUUUUUUUUUGGCUUCGAGUGGUGGAGAGGAUUGUUGUUUUCACAAGGACAAUAGAGACGGGCUUAUGGAUACUGUUAUUUGGUGGAAAUAUAAUGUAAUUUUAUCUACUUUAUAAUUCUAUUUAAUUAUUUAGAUAAAUAUUAUCAUACUGAUUUCUUUUUAUUGUUUAAUCACAAUAUCUAAGUAUAUUGAUUAUAGUAAAAAUUAAUUUAGGUACUAAUCUAGUUGUAUUAAUUAUCUUCAAAAUUAUCUCAAGAUAAUGAAGGAAACAAAAAUAUCUUUCUUUAUCAACAAUGAUUAAAAUUAACUUUUUAUUAAUUUUAUUCACUAAUAUAAUAAUGUGGAAAUAUAUAUUAUUACGGCAUAAUUGCUAUUUUAGAAUGAUUUAUUUAGCCUUUCAAUUUUAUAAAAGAUGUCAUUUUAGCUUUCUAUUAAAAUUUUUGUUUUUUAUUUUUUUAAUUUUUAAACUUGCAUUAUUUGUCAAAUCACCUCAUAAAUGAUGAAAAAUUUAACAUCUAUUAACUUUAUUGAUGUGGAUUUCCCAUGUGAAUGCUAUGUCAGUAAUUAAUUAAUUUUUUAAAAUUUAAAAAUUCAAAAAAAUUAUAAAGAAUAUUUCUAAAAAAAUUAAAGAGUAUUAAAAGUAUAAAAAUAUAAUUUUUUUAUUUUUUUAUUUUUUAUUUUAAAAAAUUAAUUAAUUGCUAAUGGGCAUACACAUGGACUACCACGUAGAUGUCACGUUAGCAAAACUAACAAAUGCUAAUUUUUUCAUCCAUAAUUUGACAAACAAUGUAUGUUCAAAAGCUAAAAGAGGUGAAAAAUUAGAUGGAUAACAAAAAUAAUUUUUUUGUAAAAUGGCAAAAUUAAUCAAUGCCAAAAAUUCAUGUAAAAAAGCUUAUGAGACCUUGGUUGAACUUUUGGGACAUUGGUGUCAUUUAUUCAAUGUCCGGUUAACUUAUUACACAAAUUUAGUCAGUAACCUAAUAAUAGUAUAGAUAUAUACAUAAUAUUAAUAAUAAAAUAUGUGAUCGAGUUUUGUGUAACAAAUUUUGGUUUUGGUUUUGAAAAUAACCUCAACAUUUAUGGUUUUUGGAUUUGAGCCCUUAACCAUUUUUUUAUUGACACCCUCAACAUUACAAUUUUUUCAGAAAUCAACCUAAUUUUAACAGUAAACGUGAGUUGAUCGUCAAUCAAACUGCAAGUAAACAAAAUAACCUAUGUGACAUGCUACAUAAGCACGAUAUCAUAGAUGACAUCAUCUAUAAAAAAGAAUUGUUAUGAGUGCAACGAAACCAAUGAAAACUAACAGCGAAACCCAAAAAAUUCCAAUGAAUCUAACUUCUUCUCCAACCUUUCUUCUACUACGGACUUCUCCAGUUUCUAUUUUUUGGAAACGUUUUCAGUUUCUUUGUUGUCUUCCUCUCUCCCACGCUUCGAUUUGGAGUCAUUGUUGGCAUUGUCCCUAGCAUUAGGGUUUUGGGCAAAAGAGUCAAGGUUUUCGAGAUCCAUGUCUUCAAUUGGUGGGUUGGCCUUGGCAAGCUCCGAUGACGCCUCUUUCUCCACCAUUGAGGAAGAUAAGAUUUCAAACCCUAGAAUGUUUGGCGACAGUGGAGGAGUUAAUAAAGUUUCCAUAGAGGUUUUGUUUAGCUUCCCACGGGUAGAUAUGUGAUGAGGAAGACGAAUCAAGCCGCACAUGUACUAGCUGAUGCAGGUACAUUCUAUUUUGAACCUAUGUUCUGGGUGGAGGAGGCUCCAUUAGCAAUAUAGAUCGCGAUGGAGCAAGAUCAUUGGUGGGUGGACCCACUGGAUUGAAGAUAAUGCCAUUUUGCACUGGAAUCGGAGAAUUUUCAAAUCUGGGUCUCCGAUGGUGUCAAUGAUUUCGAGCUCUCUCAAUUUUCAACCUUUUGAUAAGAUUUCUAAAGAACGGAUUUGUGAAAGGCUACCUAAAGAAGUUUAUUGAUUUUGUUUUACUGGUUUCCAUCUGAUGCGAAGAAAGAGAGAAUAAAGAAGAUGGAAAUAAAAUGAAAAAAAAAUUGUUAAACAAAUUUUCUAUAGAUGAUGUCAUUUAUGACAUAGUGCUUAUGUGGCAUGCCAUAGAGGCUACUUUGUUGACCUGCAGUUUGAUUGACGAUCAAAUCAUGUUUACUAUUAAAAUUUGGCUAAUUUUUAAAAAUAUCGUAACAUUAAGAGUGUCAAUAAAAAAAAAGUUAAGAGCUCAAACCCAAAAAUCCAUAAACAUUGAGUGUAUUUUUGACAAUUAUGCCUUUGGUUUUUUUUUCUUAUGAUAAAAAAAAUAGAUAAAGUGAUAAUACAUUAAUGAUAUUAACAAAAUUUAAGCAACACAAAUAAUUUACUAUUACAAUAAUAAUUAUUUAACUAUAUUAUUAAUUAAUUAAUGCUAGUAUUUAUUUUUCAAUUUAUAUAUCUAAAAAAAUACAUACUCCUUUCUGUCAAAACAAUUAAAAGAAAUCUCCUUGUCAAUGAGGUUUUUACUCAGUUGGAAAAAAUGGAGAUCUUGAGUCUUAAGUUGUAACAGCCGAAAUUUCAGUGAAAUCGGAACAGUAGUUUCGGGACCACAAAUUCGAGUUUGAAAAAUAAAAUUAUUUAAAUUUCAUAAAAUGAUAGGUAAUAUGAUAGGAAAAUUGCAUGAAAAUAUUACGAAUUUUUUUUUAUCAAUUAUAUGUCUAAUUGUAAAAAGGACUAAAUUGAAUAAAAUGUCAAAGUUGGAUUCUAAUAACUAUAAAAUACCUAUGGGAUUCAAAAUGUGAGGUCCUUAUAUAGCAAUUAGACCAUUUAUGAAAAACAUGUAGAUAUUUUUGGUGAGUCAUCCAUGGAAAAAUUGAAAAAUGGCAAGGACUAAAUUGGAAAUUGAAUUAAUUAAUAUAUGUUAAAUGAUUAAAUAGAAUAAAACCCAUUUUAUAUCAUCACCUUCUCUAGAAAAUACAUGGAAACCCUAGGAGAGAGAAAGGAAACUUUUCAAGCUUGAAUUGGUAAGUUCUAUGUCCCGUUUUUAGUAAUUUUUAUAUUUUUAAAAUUAGGAAAGCUUAAUUUCUCUAUUUGGGAGAUUAAUUUGAAAAGAAAUCAAGGUUUAGAAAAUCCUCCAUAGAUGAAUAUUUUGUAAAUUGAAAGAUUAUGAUAGAAAAGGAAAGGUUAUUGAUAGAUAAACAACUUUUACAAAGUGAUUUUUAGUGAAAAAUGUGUAGGGACUAAAUUGAAAAGUGAUGAAAUUAUAGGAAAAAUUCUGAAAUUUAUGAGAUACAUGUGCUGUAAAAGUUAUAUUAAAAUUUUUAUUAGGCUUGGAAUAAGGAGUAAAUUGCAUGAAUUCCAAUUUCCGAGCCUAGGGAUGAAAUUGAAUUAAAUAAAAGUUUGGGGGCAAAAUAGUACUUUGGCCUAGAAUGUGAAAUGGGCUUGAUUGAAUUUAUGAAAUGUGAAAUGUAGAAAUCAUAGAAUUGAUGAUUAAAUUUAUUUAUAUAGAUCUAGAAGUGUCGAACAAAUAAAAAGACUGAGGAAAAGAAAAAGUCUCAGAUUAGAAGAUACGAUUAAUUGUCGAGGUAAGUUCGUAUAACUAAUUUAAGUAUGAAAAUGUAUUGAUUGUUUAUGGAUUUGUGUGAAUUGUGAUAUGUAAAUGACAUGUAUGUGUAGUAUGAAAUUGUUGAUAUAUGAUAUGUAUAAUUUAUGAAAAUGAGUAAAAUCCGUUCGAAUAUUGAUUUCCGAUUGGACAGGUGAUUACUGUUGUAAAUGAGAUCCUGCAUGCAUUGCAGUAAAAGUUAUCUGAAAAGGUAAUUCUUGAUUUCAUUAUGAAAAAGAAAUUGACCCGAAAUGGGUAACAACUUGAAAAGGAUACGUGUACCUAAAUGGUACACUUGAAAAGGUUAUAUACACUUUGUGUGUACAAUUUGAAAAGGCUAUGUACACUUUGCGUGUACAACUUGAAAAGACUACGUACACUUUGAGUGUACCACUUGAAAAGGGAAUGUACACCUCUAGUGUACGACUGAAAAAGGUUAUGUCUAUUGGAAAUUCAUUAAUUCAAUGGAAAUAGUUUAGUAAGUGAUAUAAGAAGAAAUAAUAUAAUGAGCUCAUCUAUGCAGAUUAGUGUUUUAUAGUAACUUAUUGAAUUGAGUGAUUAUGAAUAGGCAUUAUUUGCUAAAUUGGCAAGUUGAUGGAUAAUCUGUUUAUUGUAUGAUUUAUUUCUAAAUAUGAUUGGUAAGUGUAGUUUUGGUUAUAUGAACUUACUAAGCAUGUAAUGCUUACUAGGUUUAUUUUUCCUUGUUUAAUAGUGCUCGAAGCUCGUGAAGGUUGGAUUUGGGCGGAGCAAUCAUCACAUUGUCAACUCCUUGAUCUUGGUAUAAAUGAUGAAUUUAUUUUGAUAUAAUGGCAUGUAUAAGCUGGUUUGAUCAAAUGAUGAAUUGAUAAGUUGGUUUGUAAUCUAGUCAUUGGAAUGACUAGUAAUGUGUAUUUUGAUGAUGAUAUAGUAUGGUAUUAUAUGAUAAAUACUAUAUGCUUGAUAAAUUAAUUAACAUCUGUCGUGAAAAUAUAAAUUGUCAAAAUAUGUAAAGGUAAGUCUAAAUGUAUGUUUGGAGAUAGAAAUAUAUCAAAUUGAAUGAUGGAAAUUGGUUGGAUUUGGUUGGUAAAUGCAUGUGAAAUUUUGUACAAGAAAAUGGUUAAGAUUGGGGUGAAAAGUGGGGCUAGGAAAUGGCCUUAUUUUGUCCACACAGGUGUGUGUCUAGGCCGUGUGUUACACACGGCCUAAGUACAUGGGCAUGUGAUCCGGCCGUGUGUCCCUUGCACCUUAAGUUAGCAAAACAAAAUGUUCAGACUUGCCCAUACGGGCUGAGACACGACCGUGUGUCUUGGCUGUGUGAGGGACACAGUCUUUGAACAUGGGCGUGUGUCCUGGCCGUGUAAAAUCUGCAGUUAUUUUUGGGAAAUUAAUUUUCCAUAUGGCACACAGGCGUGUGUCUUGGCCAUGUGCCCUUAAUUUGUUAAUGACGUCAUAAACAGAGAGUUGCACGGGCAAAGGACAUGGGUGUGUCCUGAGUUACACAGGCGUGUGCGACCACACGGCAUGACCACACGGGCGUGUGUGGUACUGUUCAUAAGUGAAAUUUUGUGAAAUUUGUGAAAAAUUUUAUGAGGUUUCAAAUUAGUUCCGAUUCGAUUUUAAUUAUUGUAUUGAGCCUAGAGGGUCCAAUUAAAGGACAUUAUACUAAAUCUCGGAAAAAGAGUAGUAAAUUAUAUGUUUGAUCUGUACAUGUUCUGUAUUUAUAAGUAAUACUCUGUAACCUUGUUCCGGCAACGGAUACAGGUUAGGGGUGUUACAUACGUACCCAUUUUUGAGACUUACCAUGCAGAACUAUGUAUAAGUUUUCGAGUCACAUUAUGUACGGAGUUUUAGUUUAGUUAGUUCUAGUUUGUUGGCUUUAAUCUGGAAUGUUUUCAGUUUUUAGUUUGUUUGUGUUGCAAUAGUUUGAUUCUAGUUGGUGGUUACUCGAACAAUCCAUUUGUAAUAGUUUGAUAUUUAUGGUUACUUGAACUUGUAUCUAUAAUUAUACUCUUCUUGUUACACUUCAGAAAAAAAAAAUCCCUAAAAACUACCUACUACUUUUCUUUUCAUUCUUUUCUAGAGGUAAACUAUAUAUAUCAUAUAUAUUUUCUUUCAAAGAUAUCUAUUUUUUCAUAUAGUAAGUUGGUGUUAUAAGUUAAUGGAACAUCAAAUUAAUUAUGAAAUGACUGCAAUGCAUUAUCUUUGUUAUAAAGUAAUAAUCUAUUUACUGUAUAAAAAAGUAUUUGACUAAGUUAGUGUCACAAGUGAAUCGAACACCAACUUAAUUAGGAAAAGUUUAAAAUAUCAUUUUUUUCAACAAACAAAAAAUAUUAUUAUAAGGGUAUUUAUAUCUUUUAAUCAGUUUCCAGAACCGAACUAGAUGGUAUAUUGUCCCGAAACAAAGAAAAAAAGCAGUUGACACGCAAACUGACCAAUUGAAUUGAAUUUUAUAAAAUUUAUAAUUUUUUUUACAAUUUUUUUUAUAAAUUAUUUAAUUUGAACCUAACAAACCAAAAAUCACUGAUCUGAUCAAUUUGACCCCAAAUCCAGUUCCAAAAAAAUUGAUUUUAAUAAUUUUAUAUAAAAUAUUUAAAAUAAUCUAUCUAAAAAUAUAUUAUUUACGUUUAAACCUUAAACUUUAAUAUUAAAAAAAACCCUUAAUUAUUACUCUAAGAGAAUGUUAUUCUUAUAAUUUCAAAGAUAAACUUAUAUCUUUUAAUAAAAAAUUCUUUCCCUCCAUAGUGGAUGUGACAUGAUCUAAUAAAUUUUUAAUUUUUACAAGUUAAUUGGACACCAAUUCAAUUAAAAAAUUAUUAAACUGUACAUUCUUUUUACAAAGUAAUAAAUAUAAUUAGGAUAGUGACUUAGUGUUUUUAUCUUUUUAUUAAAUAAAUUUUAUAAAAAUAGUUACACAUAGUGAUAUUUGAGCAUGAGGAAUAGUAUAUAUUACAUUUUUUUUUAAAAUCACAUUUAGUUUUCAUAUAUAAUUUUUGUAAAUACAUAAUACACAUGGAAAUUUUUACAUACAACAUGAGUGCGACAUAAUAUAAUAUUAACAAAAUAAUCGUUAUAUCCAAAAAAAAAAAUAGAUAUAAUGAUACAUUUAAUUUUUAAUGUUUACUCUUCUUGUCACUUUAGCUCUAGGACAAUCGUGUGGCAAUACACGUUUUAAAAAAAUUCAAAAAAAUGCUAAUAACCAUUAAAAUGUUCAACAAGUUUCAUAAUUUUUUGAAAAAAAUCUAUGAAAACAAUAAAGUACGUAUAGAUUGUCAUACGAGUUGCUAUAUUAUUGCCAUUAAAAUUUUAAGAGGCCAAUUAACUUUUAUGUCCAUAAAAAAUUAUCUCGACUAAAUUUUAAAAGUUUGAGAGUCAAAGUGAUAAAAAAAAAUAAGGUUAAAGUGUCAAAAUAAAUAAACGUUAAUGAUUAAAUUUAAUGUUAUGACUUUAGUGGGGUUUUUACUAAUAUAAUUUAAAAAUAAUAAUAAAAUACUAAAAUGGUAUAGGGAAAAAAAUAAUAACGAAAAUGGUAUGAAUCAGGGUGGUGCCGCUUAUGGCGGUGGCGUAACCACCCUGGGUCCUAGAUUCUGCCAUUUUUUGUUAAAAAGGAAAAAAAAAGUUAAAAAUGAAAAAAAAAACAAAAAAAGGGGAUUGUGUGGGUCCCAGAGGCAGCACCAAUUGUGCCUCUGGCAGAGGAGGCACCAGUUGUGCCUCUGGCAUAGGCAACACCUGUUUUGCUAUACUAUAUUAAAAAAAUAAAUAUAUCCAACUCAAAUACAAAUAUUUUUAUUAUAAUUUAAAAUAUUUAAUAAGUAAAAUAUUUUGGUUUAAAAUAUAAUAUAUUCAAUAUACCCGGCAUGUAAUUCAAUAUAUUUUAAUUUAAUUUAAUUUUUAUUUAAUAAUAAUUUCAGUGAUGCAAUAAUAAUUAAAAAACAUAUGAUAAGUUGUUCAAUAUUAUUUUAAAAUAUGUAAUUAAUUAAAUUCAUUGGGAAAUAAAAAAUUUUUGUAUUUUUAAAAUUUUUGGAUCUUAUUUUUUAAAAUAUACUAUUUUCAUAUUUUAUUUUAUUAUUAUUUUAAUACAUAAUGUUUCAAAUGUAUUAUUUUAGUUUUUUUAUAUUAAUUUAGUAAAUAACCCUAAAUUUGUCAAUUUGUUUGCAUUUUUAAAAUUCCCAGAUUUUAUUUUUAAACAUAUAUUAUUUUUGUAUAUUAUUUUUGUAUAUUAUUUUAGUACAUAAUGUUUCAAAUGUAUUAUUUUAGUGUUUUUUAUAUUAAUUUAGAAAAUAACCCUGAUUUUGGCCUUUUGUUUGUAUUUUUAAAAUUUUAUUUUUAAAAAUAUACUAUUUUCUUAUUUUAUUUUUUAUAUUAUUUUAGUACAUAAUCUUUCAAAUGUAUUAUUUUAGUUUUUUUAUAUUAAUUUAGUAAAUAACCUGAUUUUGGCCCUUUUCUUUGUAUUUUUAAAAUUUUCGGAUUUUAUUUUUUAAAAUAUACUAUUUUAGUAUUUUAUUUUUUUAUAUUAUUUUAGUACAUAAUGUUUCAAAUGUAUUAUUUUAGUGUUUUUUAUAUUAAUUUAAUAAAUAACCCUGAUUUUGGCCCUUUGUUUGUAUUUUUAAUAUUUUUGGAUUUUAUUUUUUAAAAUAUACUAUUUUCGUAUUUUAUUUUUUUAUAUUAUUUUAGUACAUAAUGUUUCAAAUGUAUUAUUUUAGUGUUUUUAUAUAAAAAAAUGAAAAUAUUAAAUAUAUUAUAUUUUAAACCAAAAUAUUUUAUUUAUUAAAUAUUUUAAAUUAUAAUAAAAAUAUUUGUAUUUGAGUUGGAUAUAUUUAUUUUUUUAAUGUAGUAUAGCAAAACUGGUGCCGCCUAUGCUAGAGGCACAACCGGUGCCGCCUCUGCUAGGGACACAACCGGUGCCGCCUCUGGGACCCACACAACCCCCCUUUUUUAUUUUUUUUCGUUUUUAACUCUUUUUUUUCUUUUUAAUAGAAAAUGGCAGAAUCAGUGGAACACAGAGUGGUCACGCCACUGCAAUAGGUGGCAUCACCCUGGCUUAUAUCAUUUUCGUCAUUACUUUUUUCCCUAUACCAUUUCAGUAUUUUAUUAUUUUUUUAAAAUUAUAUUAGUAAAAAACUCGACUUUAGUUGAUAGUGACCAAGAAAUCACCUAUUUUACUCAGUGGGUUGGAAAUGUUUGACUUAUCAAUUUAUCCGAUAAAUUAUUGGGGGCUUAUGUAACCUAUAUUCAAUUAAUUGUAUUUUGUAUCGGAACACUGAACCUAUUUAAAAUGUUUCAUUUUAUCCUAAAAAACUCAUGUAUGAAUAAUGAUUAAUUUUACUUCUCGGCUUAGCUACUCUAGACUAAGAAAAACACAUCUACGAUUAAUUUUACUUCUUUGCUUAGCUAGUCUAGGCUCGGAGUACAUCUUGGCGGAGGAAUUAUACAGAUCUCCUUUCCAUACAUUGUAGUUGGCAAAUUUUUUUUUUGUUUAUUUAGGAGUUUUUAUUAAUAGCUUACUUAUUUUAUCGUUAAAAAAAAAACUACUGAUUUUAUUUGAAAGCCUUUUCUUUUUUUUUUGAAAUUAAAGUCAUUUCCAUUUUUGUUUUAAUUUAAAAUUGUUAUUAUUCUUCUCUUAAAAGAACCUUCAAUUUUGUUCUUUAUGUCUUUUUUUUUGUUAUUUAUUUUAUUAUAAGAUAUUUUCCUAUUUUUUAAUUAAAAAUAACUUAAUAUCAUUCCUCAGACUAUAAUUAAACAAAUAAGUAAUAAAUUAAAAAAAAGAAUUAAGAAAUAAUAAUAAUUCAAUAUUUAUUGGUUUAUAAAGACGAGGCUCCAUAUUUGGCAUAAAACAAGCUGGCACCAAAUCUCAAGGACAGUUUUGCUGUUAGCUAAGGAUUAUUUUAGGAAAUUUGUGGUGAAUUUCACAUGCCAAACACGUGCUUCAGAAAUGCAAACAUUUCUAUCUUAAUUUAUUUAUGAUUAAAUUAAUUAAUUCUAAACACAAUUAUUUAAUUUAUUCUUAAUUUAUAUGAAAUGGAAUCAAACUUUAUCAUCUUUAUUAAUUACCGUUUAUAAUUAAUGCUAUGAAAUUGGUAUAAAUUUGGAAGUAAAUACUUCUCUUAUAGUUGACCACUCCAUAGAUUAUAUCAAUUAUUAAUAAAACGACAAUAGAAUUUGCCGAUUCAUUCUCAUUAAUUUUAUAACAAUUCAUGGCCAUUAAUUAUUACUAUCGUACCAAGUAACCAGAAGAACAUCUUUCACCGACACUGAGUCCGAACACCCCACCCGGCCCUACCGUCUAAACCGGAUCCGACUAUGACGAUCAGGAUUACUGUUUAAACAAUUAAAAAUAAUUAACUUUUUGUUUGGAUUUAUUGAUAAAUGCUAAUAUAAAAAUGUUUUCCUUAUUAUUUUAUUUAAAUACUGAAUUUACACAUCUAAUGCACACCCGUAAUAUUGGAAUUAGUGAAGUGAGGUUAAUUUUCAUAAAAUAAGGGUCUGUUUGAUUGGUAGUAAAAUGUUUUCCGUAAAAUGAUUUCUGGAAAAUAUUUUACUUUUCUGUAAAAUGAUUUACUGGAAAAUAUUUUCUGGUGUUUGAUUGAAUCUGUGUAAAAUAUUUUCUGCUGUUUGACAGAUUUCCUGAAAAUAUUUUCCGAAAAAGUUGUUUUUACAUAUAUUAAUAAAUUUAUAUACAUAUUAAUAAAACUUUUAUCUAAUUAAAUUCCAAAUGCUCAUCUAUUUAUAGAUUAUACCGAUUUGAUUUUACUUCUUCAUUAUUAAAAAAAUUAUUUGUAUUUAAAUUUUAUAUUAAUUUGAUUCUACUUUUAUCCAAUCUGAUUCUUGUGAUACAUAUAUUUAACAUGGGAUUUAAAUUAAAAUAAAAAUACUGUAAUUAUUAGAAAAUUUCAUUUUUUUAAAAACUAGUAUAUUGUAUUAACUCGUACUAAAUGAUAUGUCAAACUUAAAUUGCUACAUUAAUAUAUAUUGGGUAACUAAUGCAAGUGUAAUAUGCAGUUAAAAGCUAGAAUUUAAAUGUUACCAACACAAAAAAUAAAGACGAGAUAAUAAAAAUUAUUGAAAAAGAAAAGCAAAACAGUAAUCCAUAGCACAACAAGAAACUAGUUAUAUUGUUGUUCUCUUUUUUCUAUCCAAACCCAAAACAAAACAUCAAAACCGCAUUUAGUAUUGCCAAAGUCUUUUAUGGUUCCAUCUAAGAUUUGCAAUAAAUGAAUUUGAAACUACUUAGGACCAAUGUCUUUGAGAGCACAGAUCUGCUCUUCCCCCAUUGCAGACAUAACAGGCACAACCAGGUCUUUCCCCUUAGCAAAACCAUCCUUGAUUUGCAAUCACACCAAAACACAUGAAUGUAAAAUUAUAUAACUACCAUCUUCAUGAUAUGUAAUUUGGAACCAACAUUUUCAUGUUUGGAUAUAUGGACAUCACAUCAGGCACCAGUCGCAAGAGAUAUUAGUAAAAUGCAACUCAUAUUUUCAUGUUUAGAAUGUAUUUGUCAUGUAUAUAUAGACAUUUGCAUCAGGUACAAGUCGUGUGAGUUAAGAUAAUGUAUAACAACCCAGUAAAAUUAUAGCAGCACAUAUAUAAAAGAACAAUACAGUUCAGCUAGUACAACAUGAGAAAAAUGACUAUAUUUCCCUAAAAGAAUAUGGGGUUCAAUAAGGUUCCCCGCAUCAUACGGCCAGGAAAUUACAGAAGAAAAAGACAGAAAUCGAUCAAAUAUAAACCUCUCAUUCACAAUUUUAACUGCACUCCUCCUUCUGUAGAAGAAAGAGGCUGCAAACUUGCUUUUAGAACUUUUGACAGAGGUAUUGUCCACUUAGGCUACAAACUGGAUUAUAUCAUUUGGUAUAAUUUGUUUAAUCCAUUCCUUUAAAACUUCCAUACAUUCUAAUGGAUAACCUUAGCCACUUCGAAAUAUGUGCUCCAUUCUUUUCAUCUUGAUCACAAAAAACCAUUUCCAUUUAAAUAUGCAUUAAAAAGAAAGGGGAUAAUUACAAUCAUUUUCUUAAUGUUAUUAAGAACAUUACCUCAAAUGCAGCAAAAUAUCACAAGCCAUAUUUUAGUUAAAUAAAUAUAUGGCGUCAGACUGUUAUACUGCUGAACUUUGGUACGAAAACAUCUAAUAGACGACUCUAAGGAAGUGCAGCUACUAGCUAAUAGUAACAUCUGCACAUUUCUAGGGGCAUUGCUUCACAUAUUUAUACAAGUUUAAUGCUUUGGUACAAUCAAGUAGAGCUGACAAAAUUCUUCAGAAAAAGAAAUAGGGAAUUUUCAGAAGCUAAAGAUUUGUUUUACUUGCCCUGUACAACUCAUCCUAGCCAAAAAAUGCACAAAGCAAAAGUAGAAAACAGUUCUAGACUUAACCCAAACCCAACUGGUUAUCAUAUGAUAUGCAUUUAGUGAAGAUGCCUAUGAAUCUCACUAUAGGCAAUGUAAUAAACCAUCAAUGAAUACUCUGUUUCAUAUAAAAGAUUACCCUAGUCCACAUCUUAUCCUAUCCAUCUACGUUUUGGGGAAGAGCUUUGCUCUCUUCCAUAUCUGCUCACCUAGCAAACAAAUAGUGAACUAUCACAAGUCCAUGGCAUCACUGGUAAUUUGAGCAAGGGAUUAGACAUUUGCCACAAAGAUGUUCCCUUGUAUAUUCAUUUGAUAGUAAGUUGUGUGAUUUAUCAAAAACAAAAGUAAGUUGUGUGAUGUUAGCAUUUUAUAUUCAGAAGCUUGUGUAAUAGCUAAAACCAAAUCCAAAAUGAUUACCUAGUAGGAUGAUGGCAGCAUUUAACAAUCACAAUUGAAGGGUUAGGGGAGUUUAAAGAGAAAUUCAGUAAUCUAUUUUUUAUCUCUCUAAAUCAGGGCUACUUCAAAUCUUUUCAUACCUCAUGUGUCAUGCUAUGAACUGGAGCAUCUGCAUCUCCGCCAAUAUUUUUAGCAAAACCUUCAUAUGACUGAACCCCCGGCAGAGAUCCAGGCAGCUGUUGAAGGAAAUUACUGCAUCCAUCACCAUCGCCAUCUUUCUGCCAAAAGAAAAAAAGAUUGAAACAUGCAUAUUUUAUCUCCUAAUAUACACGGUACUAUUUCCAGAUUAGAUGGGGAAGACAGAAAUCAAUUAUUACCUGAGGACCAAAGUUUUUACAUUCUUUUUCCUUAGAAGAAAGAUCAAAUCUAUCAGAGUAAAACUUUUGAAAUCCAUCAGAUAUCCCUUGAGCAGAACCUUGGUCAUCUUCAAUCUUCAAUCUUCAACAACUUUUGAAAUCCAUCAGAUAUCCCUUAAGCCAAGACCCGGCGAAGAAUUCAUGGUAAAUUUGCCUGAGAAAGAGAGAAAGAGAGGAAACAAAACAGAAUAUGCUGAGAAGAGAAGAUGAAGAACAGAAGAAGAAAAAGGAAUGAAGAAUGGAAGAAGAAGAAGAAGGAGCCUUACCUGGAUUAAGGAGGAACCGGAAGAAGUCCUUGACCAAAUUGAUUUGCAACACAAGGGGAAGGGAGAAGGGAAGGGGAAGGGAAAGGUUAAAGGGGAGAAGAAGGCGUCAUUUUUCGGAAAAUAUCUUACCGAGUUUAAAAGCGUAAGACAUUUUCCUCAAAUUUGUAAGAGGUUUUCCCGUGUUGCGGAAUUGGUUUUACAAAAGGAAAAUAUUUUCCUACUAUCAAACACUGGAAAACCUGUAAAACCAAUUCCGGAAUUGGUUUUCCCCCUAUCAAACACAGCCUAAAAGGUAACCAACAUCUUACCUCACCAUUAUCAUUUUUUUCUCUUAUUCAACUAUCAAUUUUUCAAAUUCAAUUUUUUAAUUAUUAUUAUUUUUCACUUAACCAUCAAUUUUUUAAAUUUGGUCUUCCAAGUAAUCAAAAUUAUUUUUUUCCAUUUCCGUUACAUGCCGUUAAAUCUCUAAUAAAAAUGAGACGUAAUAAUUAAAAAAUGGGUAUACUAAUAAAUUUAAUCAUUAACUUUUACAUAUAAUACUAAUUUAGUGUAAUUUAAAAUAAACUAACUCUCAAAAUUUAUGAAGUAAUCUCAAUUUAAUCCUCAAAAUUUACUUUCCUCUUUCACUUCCCCAACAUCACUAUCAUCAUUGCCUCCACCACCUCAUUCUCCACCUUUCUAAAAAAAAAAUCUCUUUUUUCUUUUUAUUUAAACCUAUAUGACACAAUAACAACCUAAGCAUAUGUAAACAUGGGCGUAGCCAAGGGGGGCUGGCAUGGCUCGGCCUCCCUAAAAUGGAAAACAUUCUAUUUAGGUCCUUUUAAAAUUUAUAAAAAUUUAAAUUCGUAAAAGUAAUAUUGCACUUUACCCCCUAAAAAUGAUAAAAAUUUGAUUUAAUCUUAUAAAAAUUAUAAAGAUAUAGAUGUUAAAAUGGUGAAAUUACAUUUAUUAUCGUAAAAAUUUACAAUUUAAUUUCGGCCCCCUAAAAAAGUUUUCUGGCUCUGCUCCUGACUGUAAAUCUCACAAAUAAAUGAUAGCUGUUGUAACAACCCAUUUUCAGUGAAAUCGGAAUAGUAACUUCGAGACCAUAAAUUCGAGCCGAAAAGAAAAUUUAUUUUAAUAUUAUUGCAUGGUCUGUAUUAUGAUAGGAAUGUCAUAUGAAAAUUCUGAUAAAAAAAUUUACCUAUUAUGUGCUUAAUUAUGGAAAGGACCAAAUUGCAUAAUGCAAAAGUUGAGUUCUAGUAGCUAUAAGUACCAAAUAGCUAUGGAAUUCAAAACUUGAGGUCCUUAUAUAGUAAUUAGACCAUUAAAAAACAGUUAGCAGAUAUUUUUGAUGAAUCAUCCAUGGAAUAUUAGAAAAAGGCAAGGAUUAAAUUAGAAAGUGAGAAAUAUUAAAAGAUGAUAAUUAAAUUAAAUAGAAAAUAUCAUCUUAUUUUCAUCAUCUUCCUCAAAAUUCCUAUGAAAACCCUAGGAAAGAGAAAACAAGCUUUCUUGACUUAAUUGGGUAAGUAUUCUUGUCCCGUUUUUAGUAAUUUUUAUAUUUUUUAGAUCGAAAUAGCUUAAUCUAUCUAUUUUGGGGAUUAAUUUGAAAAGUUAUCAAAGUAUAAAAUUUUUCCAUGGAUGAAUAUGCUAAAAUUUUGAAAUUUAUGGUAGAAAAUGAAAGGUUGUUGAUAAAUAAGCAACUUUUACAAAGUGAAUUUUGAUAAAAAUAUGAUUUAGGGACUAAAUUGUAAAGAUGUAAAAGUUAUGGAAAAAUUUUGAAUUUUGUGAAAUAUAAGUGCUUUAAAAGUUAUAUGAAAAUUUCGGUUAGGCUUGGAAUAAGUAUUAAAUUGCAUGAAUUUCAUUUUUCGAGCCUAGGGACGAAAUCGUCAUUUAUGAAAAGUAUAGGGGCAAAAUAGUAGUUUUGCCUAGGAUGUGAAUUGAAUUAAAUUGAUGUUAAAUUCAUUUAUAUAAAUCCUGAAAGACCUAAUACUAAGUUAGAUCGAGGAAAACAAAAAGUUUCGGAUUAGUAUAUUUCGUAUAUGAAUAAGUAUCGAAGUAAGUUCGUGUAAGUAAAUUGUGUACAUUUAUAUGUUUGAAUUAAAAGUUGUAUAUGUGAAUUGUAUAGUUGCCAUGUAUAUGAAAUUGAUUGAAUAUCUGAUAAUGCUUGAUAAAUGUUAAGUCCCGUUUGAACAAAUGAAAAUCGACGGAUAUAAGUUUCCAGUAAUGGUUGUGGUCUGGCAUAUGUUGCAGUCACACCAUAGCUCGAAAGAGCAUCUCGUAUUAGCCCUCUCGAGUUUCUUGUAUAAGGUUCUUGAGAGCUUCCCGUUAUAGCUCUUCGGAGCAUCCCGAUAGGUUGUGAUCCUACAUUUAUUGUAGAUACACCUUAGCUCUUAUGAGCAUCCCGAUCAUAGGCUCUUCAUGAGCUUCCUGUUAAAUUGGCUUUUAGUGAGCUUCCCAGCAGUGCUCGCUUGAACUUCCCGAUAUAUGGCUAUCCAGAGCUUCCUGUUACAUGGUUAUUUGUGAGCUUCCUGAUAGGCUCUUCGUGAGCUUCCCAAUAUGAUUCCUUGUGAACUUCUCGAUAAGGUUCUUUGUGAACUUUCCAAUUAUGGCUCUUAUGAGCUUUCUGUUAUAUAGCCUGGAUAAGCUUUCCGAUAGGCUCUUUAUGAGCUUCCCGAAAUGGCUAUGUGUGAGCUUCCCGUUACAAGGCUCGAGAGUGUGUUUCCCGAUUAUAUACCCUAAUUGGGUACCCCUGGAAAUAAAUUGACGAAUUAUAGUAGUGUACACUAAAGUGUACUAUAUGAGCGUAUCCAUCGAUAUUUCAAAUAAAUUCAACGGGUAAAGUUCUGACAUGGCUAAACUGAAUUUGAAAUGAUAUGUCAUUAAAGUGUACAUGUAAUAUGGAAUAAUGAUAUUGAAAGCAUAUGUAUAUGAAAGACAUUAAAUGAUGAGCUCAUCCAUGUUCUUGGUAUUAUGUGAAUUACUUGACUAACAUGAUUGGUGAAGUUAUGUUUUAGGCUAUAAGCCAAAUUUCUUGGAUGCAUUAUUGUAUGUUUAUCUUAAAUGUAAAUAUAUGGUAAAUUAAAUUCCUGUUAUACGAACUUACUAAACAUUAAAUGCUUACUAGGUUUUCUUUUCUUUGUUUAUAGUGCUCAGAAGCUCGUAAACAUUGGAGAUCAGUCAGAGUAUCAUCUCACUAUCCUCAAACUUGUUUUGGUAUAAAUAGAAAACUUAUUUUGACAUAAUGACAUGUAUAAGCUAAUUUUACCAAUGAUGAAAUGUAAAUGGAUGUUUGUAAUCUAGCCAUUGGAAUGGAUAGCAAUGGUAUAUUUUGGUAUGAUAAUACAAAGUUAUAUCAUGUUUAAUACAUACAUGUAUAAUGUAUGGUUAGAUUGAAUUAGGGUAACAGCUCGUUUUUAAGUCAAAUCGAAACAAUGGUUUUGAGACCAUAAAUUUGAAGUCAAAAUAUUUAUUUUAUUAUUUUAAUAGGGUUUACAAUAUGAUAGAUUAACUAUGUGAAAUUUUCGUAAAGAAAUUUUACCGUUAAAAUGCUUAAUUCGGUAAAAAGGACUAAAUCGCAUAAAGCGUAAAAUAUGAGUUCUAUAAGUUAAAGGAACCAAAUAGCUAUAGAAAUGAAUUGAAUAAGCCUUGCAUGGUAAUUAUACCAUUAUUAAAAUGGAUGGACAUAUUUAGACAUUGUUUAAAUGAUUUUUAUAUGUUUUAUUUAAGGUUAGUUUUGUAAAUUAGUAAAUUAUGUUAUAUUAAGUAAAACGAAAUAAAAAAAAAUUAUGGUUCUAUUCAUCAUCUUGACCGAAAUUAAAGCGGAGAAAUCAGUCAUAGUUAGGUUUUACAUUCGGCCAAGCUUGAAUCCUUGAUUAAGGUACGAUUUUGACUUGGUUUUUAAUGAUUUCUACGUUUUUAAGCUCGUUGCAGCUUAAUCUAGCUAGCUCGUGCCUUCGUUUUUGAAACCGUUAUAUAUUUUGAAUGAUGCCAUACUUGAAUGCUUAGAUGUUUAGAUGAUUAAUGAUAGUUUUGGAAGGUUUGAUGUUUGAUUAAUUGUUUUUGUAAAGUGAUUUUGAUAAAAAUGUUAAAAAGGUGGCUAAAUUGAAAAAUGUGUAAAAUUCAUGGAUGAAAUGUGAAAUAAAUGUAAAAUAUGGACUAAUAGGAACCUUAUUGAAAUUCAGCUACCAUGGGUACUAGCCUAAUUGUGUAAUUUUGCAUUUUUAUGAAUUGAGGACUAAAUUGUAAAGUAGUCAAAAGUCUAUGGGGUAAAAAUAUAAAGUAGCCAAAAUAAAUGUUUUAGGCUAAAUUGAAUUGAAUGAAAGUAUGAAUGAGUUAAUUUGAUAUAAUAUAGAUUAAGAUAAGUCGAGAUCGAGUUUAGAUAGGGGAAAAGGAAAGAUUGACGAAUAGCAGAUGGUUUUCAUUUGAGCAACUUAAGGUAAGUUCGUAAAAUUAGAAUCGAACUUUUCUAUACUUAUAAUAAGUGAAAUGAAUAUGUAUAAUUGAAAUACUUGAAGUAUGAAUGCUUUAUUGAUAAAAUGUAUUUGUUACCGAGCCCUGUUUGAACUAUAUGAAUUCAUUGGAUACGAGUGACAUGAUACUGAGAUUACCGUUUUGGUCGAGCUCCUGUAUUUGUUGCAGACUCACCGCAGCUCGUAUGAGCUUACCGAUAUAUCAGUUCGUAAGAACUUACUAUUUUCAGCUCGAUAGAGCUUACCGUUUCAGCUCAUUAGAUCUUACUAUUAUUAGCUCAGAAGGAGUUUAUCAAUCAUGGCUCGAAAGAGCAUAUAUGAUAAUGAAUUAACGAAUUACUGAUGAUGUUCACUUGAGUAUCUUUAGAAAUUCUAAUAAGUUCAACAUGCCUAAAUACUGUUCACACCGAUAAGUUACAGAUUAUAAAUAUUACUACUGUUAUAUAUAUGAUAUGUGAAUUUUGGAAUGAUGUAAAGUAUUGUAUCAAUAAAUGAUUUAUGUAUUUUUCAAAUGACUAACAUGUGGAUUCUUGUGAUUAGGUGUUGGUUAAUUGAAUUGUUGGCAUUUUUAAUGUUGCUUUGGUUAUUUUUGAAUGGUAAGUUUAAUUCUAAAUUAUACGGGCUUACUAAGCUAUAAAGCUUACUCUGUUUCUUUUCUAUGUUUUAUAGAGUUCCGUUAGCUCGCUCGUUUCGGACAAGUUGGGGUUGCAUAUCACACUAUCCAAUUUCUGAUUGGUAUUUUUGAACAGGUGAAUUUGUAAAUAUGGAAUGUAUAGGCUAGUUUGAAAAAUGUUAGUUAUGUUACUUGAUAAUAGGACUUUGGCAUAUUUUUUUGAAUAAGUUAAGCCAUGUGAUUUGGCUUAUUUUGAUGUUAUGUUUUGGUUGAAUUGAAAUAUUCAAUUAUGGUAUGUUUUAGCAAGGAAUGAUGGAAUGAAAUUAAGCAAGUGAAGUCUCAAUAUGUGGUUGUUAAAUGAAUGGGUUGUGUAUGAUGAUGGAUAGGUAUUUGGGUAUGAGUUUGUUAUGUUUUGAUAUGGAAAAUAUUAUGUAUUGAAAUGGUUAUUUUGGUUGCCAAUUGGGUUGCAUAAAUGUUGUCAAUUAUGGUUUUAAAUGUUUGUGUUUAUAGGGUGGCAGAAUGGCUUUGCAAAUAACCUAUUUUUUUCCACACGGGAAGAGACACGGGCGUGUGUCUCAGUCGUGUAUGACACAAGGUUAUGUUACACGGUAUUGCGUCCCCUAGUGUACCCUACGAAUUAAGUCAAUAUACCCUACAGGUUUGACAGGGCUUAGACACACGGCGUGUGAUUGACCGUGUGACAUAAGUCAGUAUACCACCUAAAUGGCACAUGGCCUUGUGACACAAGUCAGUAUGUAUGUCCUGUUUUCACACGGUCUAAGACACGGGCGUGUAUACUAGCCGUGUGAGGCACACGGCCUGUUCACAUGGGCGUAUGACACUUAAAAUGUUAAAUUUUUUCUAAGUUUCUAAAAUUUUUAAUAUGAUACAAUUUAGUCCCAAAUGCAUGAUUAAAGCUUGAUAUGUUUAUUUUAAGUACAUAGUGAAUGGGAAUGAUUGAUAUUGACUGAGAAUAGAUGUUAUUGGAUAUAUGAUUGUUCUGAAAUGAGUUACAAGUCCGGUAAUACCUCUUAACCUAUACCGGUAAUGGUUACGGGUUAGGGGUGUUACAGGGUAAAAUAUAUAUAUUCUUGCAAAAAGGUAAGUUUGACUAUAUGAAUGUAUGUAAUGUUAUACUAUACAUAUUAAUGAUCUUUGCUUAGUUUCAUGCUUGAAAUUGGUUGGUAUAUAUGUACAAGUAUUGUUGUAGGUUAUUGGCAAAUUUGGGUGAGAAAUAAGCUAGGAAAUGGCCUUAUUUUGUCCACUCGGGUAGACAUAUAGGUAUGUGUCUUGACCAUGUGUGACACACAGCCUGGCACAUGGGCAAGUGGUUUGGUCGUGUGUCUACUGCAUCCUAAAAUUGAAAAACAUAAUGCUCAGAAUUAGGCACACAGGUAGAGAUGGGAGGAGACACGGGCGUGUGUCUCAGCCGUGUGAGAUACACAGCCUAGAACACGGGCGUGUGUCUUGGCUGUGUGAAACCUGCACCUAAUUUGUGAAAAUUAAAUUGACCACACGGCCUAGCGCACAAGCGUGUGGCAAGCCGUGUGGCACAAGUCGGAGAGUUACACAGGUAAGGACACGGGCUGGAACACGACCGUGUACCUCACAUCAAAUGCCCACACGGCCUGAGACAUGGGCAUGUCAUCUCACACGGCCUACUCACACGGGCGUGUAACCCCUGUAUAUGAGAAAAAUUUUUAAAUUUUGCAAAAAAUUCUCUGAGAUCCUGGUUUAGUCCCAACUUGUUUCUAAACUUUAAAUUGGGCCUCGAGGGUCCAUUCAAGAGACGGUAUGAUUAUUUUUGGAUAUGAAUAGUAAAUGACAUGAAAUGUUUGUAAUUGUUCUAUAAAUUUCGGUAAUGCUCUGUAACCCUGUUCUAGCGAUGAAUACGGGUCAGGGGUGUUACAUUUAUUGGUAUCAGAGCUACGGUUUAGCCAAUUCUUGGAUUAACAUAAUAUGUACGAGUUUAGCUAUACAUGCCAUUAUAUAAUUUGUGAUACUGUGAUAUCUCUUGACCAUUUUAAAUGUGUUUUUCAUUUAGUAAUGUCAUCCAACCAAGCUAGAGCUGAAUCCGAGGAAGCUGAGAGCAAUGCUACAACUUCAGUUCAAAGAGCUAUAUCUAGUAGUAGAAGGCCCGAAUCUGAGGGCCGAGGUGAGGAGGUAAAAGAAGCAUUUUUUCAAAUGAUGAAUGAGUGAUUUACAGAAUUCAUAAGAACAAAUCCUAUUGUAUAACAACCUCCCUCUCCUGCUCCUCAACCAGUUCCUGAGAUGCCAUAAGGUGCUGAACCUGUUAGAACUGGUAAGCCUCCAAUAGAUAAAAUCCGUAAAUAUGGGGCAGAAGAAUUUAGGGUUAUUGUCGAAGAUGAUCUGGAAAGGGCUAAGUUUUGGUUAGAAAAUAUCAUCAGAGUUUUAGAUGAAUUAUCAUGUACACCAGCUGAAUGUUUGAAAUAUACUGUAUCAUUGUUAAAAGAUUCAGCUUAUCAGUGGUGGAAUACUCUGAUUUCUAUUGUACCGAGAGAAAAUGUUAGAUGAGAGUUUUUCCAAAUGGAAUUCAGAAAGAAGUACAUUAGUCAGAGAUUUCUAGAUUAGAAAAAGAAAGAAUUUUUAGAGCUCAAACAGGGAAGUAUGACAGUAUCUGAAUAUGAACUAGAAUUCGAUAGAUUAAGCAGAUAUGACAGAGAAUGGGUUCCGACUGAGGCUGAUAUAUGUAAAUGUUUCGAAGAGGGUUUAAAUAAAAAUAUCAAGCUGUUGAUUGAAAUUCUAGAAUUAAGGAAAUUUGUGGUAUUGGCUGGUCGAGCACACAAAGCUGAGGAAUUAAGUAAGGAAAAGAAGCAAGCAGAGAAAGAAGCCCGAAUUUUUGGUAAGAGAGUUAUGGGCAAGUCACAAUCAUCUACAUCAAAAAAAAUCAAAGAAGUACCAUGAUCAUUUUACUGCAUUUGUGAGGUAUUCUGGAAAAGAACGAGGCUCUCAACGCUCUAAUUCGACUCCGUCUCCAUCUGUUUGAAAUGUAGGAAGAGUUGGAAAUCUUAAACCAAGAUGCAAACAUUGCAAUAAAUUGUAUUUCGAUGAAUGCCGCAUAAGAAGUGAAGCUUGUUUUAGAUGUAGUUCUUUUGAGCACUAUCUUAGAGACUGUCCAAAAAAGCCUGUAAAAGAUACUGUUCAGACCUCUAGGCCGACCAAUCCUGUCUCAAGAGGUAGACCACCCCGACACCCCAACAAUGUUAAUGGUAGCCGAGAUGUGACAAAAGAUUUAACAGACAAAUCUGAAGCCAGAGCACCGACAAGGACAUAUGCUAUACGUGCAAGAGAGGAUGCUUCUGCACCUGAUGUUAUUACUAGUACAUUUUCUCUUCUUAACACUGAUAUUUCUGCUUUGAUUGAUCAUGGUUCAACACAUUCAUACAUAUGCACAAAUUUAGUGUUUGUUAAAAAUUUACCUAUUGAAUUCAUUAAAUUUGUGGUUAAAGCUUCAAACCCCCAAGGCCAGUAUGUUAUGGUUGAUAAAGUUUGUAAAAACUAUCUGUUGAUGGUAAAGGGUUAUUGUUUCUCGGCUGAUUGGAUGCUACUGCCCUUUGAUGAAUUUGAUGUAAUUUUGGGAAUGGAUUGACUAACUCAACAUGAUGCAGUGGUGAAUUGUAAAUAGAAAUACAUUGUGUUGAAAUGUCAGAAUGGUGAAUUACUCCAUGUUGAAUCUGAUAAACUGGAUGAGCUAUCUAAUGUGAUUUUUGCUAUAUCAACAUAAAAAUAUAUCAGAAAAGGGUACGAUGCUUACCUUGUUUAUGUGUUAAACACUACAGUAUUUGAGUCGAAGAUUUAGUUAGUGCUGGUUGUUUGUGAAUUUCUUGAUGUAUUUCCGAAAGAAUUACCUAGAUUACUGCCUGCCAGAGAAGUGGAUUUUCUAUAGAUCUUAUUCCAGGAACAACUCCUAUAUCUAUAACACCUUAUCGAAUGGCUCCAACAUAAUUAAAAGAAUUGAAAGCACAGUUGCAAGAAUUGACAGAUGGGGAUUUUUCUCGACCUAGUCAUUCACCUUGGGGUGCACCAAUUCUGUUUGUAAAGAAGAAAGAUGGAUCGUUAAAGCUGUGUAUUGAUUGUAAACAGCUCAACAAGGUUACAAUUAAGAACAAAUAUCAUUGCCUUGAAUUGAUGACCUAUUUGAUCAGUUGAAAGGUGCUAGUGUAUUUUCUAAAAUAGAUAUUUGUUCUGGAUAUUAUUAGCUACGGGUAAAAGAUUCUAAUGUGCCAAAGACAACUUUCAGAACCAGAUACGGACUCUAUAAAUUUCUUGUGAUGCCGUUUGGGUUGACAAAUACACCUGUAACAUUCAUGGAUUUAAUGAAUAGAAUUUUUAGACUAUAUUUAGACAGGUUUGUAGUAGUAUUUAUUGAUGAUAUUCUGGUUUAUUCCCGAGAUGAAAAUGAACAUGUUGAUCAUCUGAGAAUUGUAUUGCAAACUCUGUGUGAGAAACAAUUGUAUGCCAAAUUUAGUAAAUGUGAAUUUUGGCUACGGAAAGUUGGUUUUCUCGGGCAUAUAGUAUCUGCAGAGGGUAUCGGAGUGGAUCCAAAUAAAAUUUCAGCUAUUGUUAAUAGGAAACCACCAAAGAAUGUAUCUGAAGUUAGAAGUUUUCUAGGACUAGCUGGAUAUUAUCGAAGGUUUUUUAAAGAGUUCUCAAAGAUAGCUUCUCUGAUGACUUGAUUGUUGCAGAGAGAUGUGAAAUUCGAGUGGUCUGAUAAAUGCCAAAGGAGUUUUGACAGAUUGAAUGCCUUGUUGACUGAAGCACCUAUGUUAGUUCAACCUGAAUCAGGUAAAGAAUUUGUAAUUUAUAGUGAUGUAUUGUUGAAUGGUUUAGGCUGUGUUUUUAUGCAAGAAGGAAAAGUAAUUACCCAUGCCUCUAGACAAUUAAAGUCACAUGAAAAGUACUAUCCGAUACAUGAUCUUGAAUUGACAGCCAUUGUGUUUGCAUUGAAAAUCUAGCGGCAUUACCUAUUUGGUUAAAAAUUUCACAUAUUUACAAAUCAUAAGAGUUUGAAGUAUCUGAUGAUGCAGAAAUAUUUGAAUCUAAGGCAGCGCAAGUGGUUUGAGUUAUUAAAAGAUUAUGAUUUGAUUAUUAACUAUCAUCUAGGAAAAACCAAUGUAGUUGUUGGUGAUCUAAGCAGAAGGUCUUUGUUUGCUUUGCGAGCAAUGAAUACUCAUUUGUCAUUAUCAGAUGAUGGUUCAAUUAUAGCUGAGUUAAAUGCUAAAUCGUCAUUUUUGCAAUAGAUCUGUGAAGCUAAGAAAUAUGAUAGUGAAUUAAAAACUAAACGAGAAUAGUGUGAAUUGAAUCAUGAUUCAGAAUUUCAGGUUGGAUAUGAUGAUUGUUUAUUAUUCAGAGGCAGAAUAUGUGCACCAGAGGUUUUAGAACUUGUAUAGAAGAUUUUGAACAAUGCUUAUAAUGAUACUAGGUCUAUUCAUUCGGGAAGUAAUAAAAUGUACAAUAAUUUGAAAAAGAUGUACUGGUGCCAGGAAUGAAGCGAGAUAUUUCUGAAUAUGUAGCUAAAUUUUUGAUAUUUUAGCAAGUAAAAGAUGAACAUCAGUUGCCUUCUGGAUUCUUACAGCCAAUUAUGAUACCGGAAUAGAAAUGGGAAAGAGUUACCAUGGAUUUUAUACCGAGAUUACCCCUAUCUCCAAAGAAGAAAGAUGCCAUUUAGGUAAUCGUCGACCGGUUAACAAAAUCUGCACACAUUAUUUCGGUACCUAUGGAUUUCUCUUUGGAUAGAUUGAUCGAAUUAUAUGUUUCAGAGAUUAUUAAAUGGCAUGGAGUGCCUGUCUCUAUUAUUUUAGACAGAGAUCCUCGAUUUACAUCCAGAUUUUGGAAUAAAUUGCAAGAAGCUCUGGGUACUCAAUUGCAUUUUAAUACCGCAUUCCAUCCUUAGACUGAUGGCCAAUCCGAAUGUGUAAUACAAAUUUUGGAAGAUAUGCUUCAGUGUUGUAUUUUGGAAUUUAAAGGUAAUUGGGAAAAGUAUUUGUAUUUGGUUGAAUUUGCAUACAAUAAUAAUUAUCAGUCCAGUAUUAAAAUGGUACCGUAUGAGGCUCUAUAUGGUCGUAAAUGUAGAAUUGUAACACCCCUUACCCGUACCCGAGAUCGGGACAAGGUAUGAGGCAUUACUGUACAUAAACAGGGCAUUUUCAAAACACAUGGGUCAUCAAAUUUCAUUCCAAAUUAAAACCAAUCAAACAAAAUCAUAUUGUCCUUAUUAUGGAUCUACAAGGUCCAAAACAUAAAUUAAAAACAAUCCGGGGCUAAUCCGAGAACUUAAGAAAAUUCUAAGAAAAUUUCUAGGGUUGAGCCUCACACGCCCGUGUGGAGGCAAUGCACACACCCGUGUGCUUUGGGACACGCCCGUGUCCCUUACCCGUGUGGGAUUUCUAAAAAUUAAUUUUCAUUUCGAACCUACAGGGGUUUUCACACGAUCGAGCACACACCCAUGUCCUUGGCCCGUGUCCCUCACAUGGCCUAGACACGCCAGUGUCCAAAAACUUGGACAUUUUUUUAUGACGUCAUCACUUAUUUAGGGGCACACGGCCAUGGCUCACGCCCAUGUGCUAGGCCAUGGCACUCUCACAUCUUUAUAAUGUCAUCUUAUUUCACCCUCAUUUGUUACACCAUUUAGAGGCAUUUCACACACAUUUCAUGCAUUAUUAAACUUGUUACCAUAACCCCAAAUUGUGUAUUCAUGCACAUAGUCAUUUUAAGUCAUUAGGUCAUCCUUUAACCUUUAACACUUAAUCCACACUUUACCAUACAUUUGUCAAUCAACAGCAUACCCUACCAUCCAGACACUAACACAUGUAUGCAUGGGUAAUUAGAUUACAACCCAAAUUAUCAAAUGUGAGCCAUAUCACAUGGCUAUUACAAAAGAAUCAUCAUCAUCAUCAUCAUGGGCCUUCAAAAAUUGGCCAAAUAACAUGACAUAUAUAAAAAAUGACCAAGUUCCUAUACAUGCCAUACUUAAAAUAAUAAUUCCACUAUACCCAAUAGUCUUUUGAUAGUGUGAUCGAAUACUCCGACAGCUUCCGAUCCCCGAGCUAGCUUGACGGAACUACAAAGAAUGGAAAAGAGAGGGGAGUAAGUAUUAAAACUUAGUAAGUCCACAUACAAAUAAUAUGCAAUAGUGGUAAACAAUUAACAUGCAAAAACAUGAUAACAUAUACAUAAAGAUUAUUCUUCAUUCAAACCUCUUUACUUAUUCAUCAUAUGCAUAUACAUACUUGCUCCUCUUAAAUCGAUCUUUAUCAAAGCAUUAUUCAUAGGUUUAGCGUACUUACUUGUACAUACCUCUUUCAUAUGCCCUCCUCGGGACUUUCAUUACAAUCGUUACAUUACCCGUUGAACACUCGGAACACUAUUGGAUACGCUGAAACCUUGCACAUAAGUGUCAUAUAUACAUACAUAGCCAGAGCUACUACAUAACAUGUAACACAUCUAUAAUGAACUCGAACCUCUCAACGAGCUCAAAUGUUACAUGAAUCUCAUCCAUCAUGAACUCAGACCACUCAACGAGCUCGGAUACUCGCAUCCAUCAUGAACUCGGACCUUUCAACGAGCUCGGAUGCUACAUACCUUACAAACCCGGACCACUUAAUGAGUUCAGACUUAUUAGUUCCCAGUGACAUGUCACUUGUAUCCUAAACUAUUCCUAAGGUUCAAACGGGGUUUUUCCUUGCAUAUAGUAUUUCCAUCAUACUUGCUUGUCACGUUGUGGAUAACGACCAUAAUAAUAUUCAUGCUUUCAUAAUAAUCAGCAAGCAUAUAACUCAUAAUUACAAUAAAAAAUUUAUUACAAUAUAUUAAAGCAUUAAAACAUACUACAAUGCCACAUUAUUUGCAUAUGUACUUACCUCGAUACAAAACGAUGAUAAUCGAGCCUAGUCGUCGUAUACUUUAUUCUUUCCUCGAUCAAAUCCCGAUUCACGUUUUUCUUGAUCUAUAAUGCCAAAUUUAACUUAUUUAUUAUUCACAUGGUUGAAAUGGGUCCAUAAAUCAUAUUUUUUUCAAAUUUAUAUUUUGACUCCUAAACUUUCACAUAUUUACGAUUUAGCCCUUAGGCUCGUAAAAUGAAAUGCAUGCAUUUUCUUGAUUACCCAAGCUUGGCCGAACCUCUUCUAUGCUCAUAUCAGCCCAUAUUUUCUUUUAUUUCACAUUAUUACUACUCAUUUUUACACUUUUACAAACAAGUCGCUUGUUUAGGUGUUUUCACUAAAAAUCACCUAAUAAAAGAUGUUCACCAUGCAUCAAACAUUCAUAUUCCUCAAUAAAUCAUCAAAAUACAAGCAUGUCAUGCGUGGAUUAAUUUUCAUACAUGAACCCUAGCUCAAAAUAUAGCUAGAAAUGGGUAGAUCAUGUUAUCGGGAAUUCAAAAAUACAAGGAACAUUAAAAACGGGGCUAGGGAGCACUUACUAUUGAGCUUGGAAAUGUUGAACGAAACCCUAACUAUGGUGUUAUGUGAUUUUUGGCAGCUAAGGAGGAAGAUGGACCCAUUUUUGGUUUGAUAUUCCCUUUUUAUUCUUUUAAUUACCUAAUGACCAAAAUGCCCUUAGGGUUUCUCUUUCCAAUUUUUUCUAUGCAUGUCCAUUUUUGUCCAAAAUUUUAGAAAUUGGUAAAAUUCCUAAUUAGAACCUUCUAAUUCAUAAUCUAAUGAAAUUUCAUGCUUAAAGCUUCUAGAAUGCAAGUUUUGCGCUUUAUUCAAUUUGGUCCCUAAAAUGCAAUUAGAUAUUUUAUGCAUAGAAUUUCUUCAUGAAACUUUCAAACAAGCAUGCAUUCAUAACAUAAACCUCAUAAUAAUGAUAAAAUAGUUAUUUCUAUCUCGGAUUUGUGGUCUCAAAACCACUGUUCCGACUAGGCCCUAAUUCAGGAUGGUAUAAGAACUCUGUUGUACUUGAUAGAACUCAGUGAGAAAAAGAUACACGGAGUUGACUUGAUCUGUGAAAAAGAAGAAAAAUUAAAGGUGAUUCGAGAUAGUUUGAAAGCAGCCUUUGAUCAUCAAAAGUCUUAUGCUGAUCUUAAAUGAAAAGAAAUAGAAUUUCAAGUCGCCAACAAGGUAUAUUUAAAAGUAUCACCUUGGAAGAAAGUUAUUUGGAUUGGCCGUAAAGGAAAACUGAGUCCACAGUUCAUCAGACCAUAUGAGAUUAUUGAAAGAAGUGGACCUGUUGCUUAUCGGUUGGCAUUACCACCAGAACUUGAUAGAAUUCAUAAUGUUUUCCAUGUGUCCAUGUUACGACAGUAUAGAUCAGAUUCUCUGACAGAAAUUGAGAUCAGCCUGAUAUUACUUACAAUGAAGAACUGAUCAAAAUCUUGGCACAUGAAACAAAAGAAUUAAGAAAUAAAAAGGUAGCUUUAGUAAAAGUUCUUUGGCAACGACAUUGGAUUGAAUAAGCUACCUGGGAACCGGAGGAUACCAUGAGAAAGCAAUACCCAAACCUUUUUACUAGUAAGAUUUUUGAGGACGAAAAUUUUUAAGGAGGGAGAGUUGUAACAACCCAUUUUCAGUGAAAUCGGAACAGUGGUUUCGGGACCACAAAUCUGAUCUGGAAAGAAAAGUUAUUUUAAUAUUAUUAUAUGGUCUGUAUUAUGAUAGAAAUGUCAUAUGAAAAUUCUGAUAAGAAAAUUUUAUCGGUUACAUGUUUAAUUAUGGAAAGGAUCAAAUCACAUAAAAUGCAAAAGUUGAGUUCUAGUAGCUAUAAGUACCAAAUAGUUACGGAAUUCAAAACUUGAGGUCCUUAUAUAGUAAUUAGACCAUUAAAGAAAAGUUAGUAGAUAUUUUUGAUGAAUCAUCCAUGGAAAAUUAGAAAAAGGUAAGGAUUAAAUUAGAAAGUGGAAAAAUUAAAAGAUGAUAAUUAAAUUAAAUAGAAAAUAUCAUCUUAUUUUCAUCGUCUUCCUUAAAAUUUCUAUAGAAACCUUAGGAAAGAGGAAAAAAACUUUCUUGGCUUAAUUGGGUAAGUAUUCUUGUCCCGUUUUUAGUAAUGUUUAUAUUUUUGAGAUUAGAAUAGCUUAAUCUAUCUAUUUUGGGGAUUAAUUUGAAAAGUUAUCGAAGUAUAGAGGUUUUUCCAUGGAUGAAUAUGCUAAAAUUUUGAAAUUUAUGGUAGAAAAUGAAAGGUUGUUGAUAGAUAAAUAACUUUUACAAAGUGAAUUUUGAUGAAAAUAUAAUUUAAGGACUAAAUUAUAAAGAUGUAAAAGUGACGAAAAAAUUCUGAAUUUUGUGAAAUAUAUGUUCUGAAAAAGUUAUAUGAAAAUUGUGGUUGGGCUUGGAAUAAGGAUUAAAUUGCACGAAUUUCAUUUUCCGAGCCUAGGAACGAAAUCGUCAUUUAUGAAAAGUAUGGGGCAAAUUAGCAGUUUUGCCUAGGAUGUGAAUUGAAUUAAAUAGAGUAUCAAAUGGAUUAAAUUGGUGUUAAAUUUAUUUAUAUAGAUCCUGAAAGACUUAAUACUGAGUUGGAUCGAGGAAAACAAAAAGUUUCAGAUUAGUAGAUUUCGUAUACGAACAAGUAUCAAGGUAAGUUCGUGUAACUAAAUUGUGUACAUUUAUAUGUUUGAAUUAAAUAUUGUAUUUGUGAAUUGUAUAAUUGCCAUGUAUAUGAAAUUGAUUGAAUAUCUGAUAAUGCCCGAUAAAUGUUAAGUCCCGUUUGAACAAAUGAAAAUCGAUGGAUACAAGUUUCCCGUAAUGGUUGUGGUCUGGCAUAUGUUACAGACAUGCCAUAGCUCGAAAGAGCAUCCCGUAUUAGCCCUCUCGAGUUUCUUGUAUAAGGUUCUUGCGAGCUUCCCAUUGUAGCUCUUUAGAGCAUCCCGAUAGGUUGUGAUCCUACAUUUGUUGUAGACACACCUUAGCUCUUAUGGACAUCCUGAUUAUAGGCUCUUCACGAGCUUCCUGUUAAAUUGACUCUUCGUUAGCUUCCCGAUAGUACUUGUUUGAACUUCCCGAUAUAUGGCUAUCUGGAGCUUCCCUUUACAUGGCUCUUUGUGAGCUUCCUGAUAGACUCUUCGUGAGCUUCCCAAUAUGGUUCUUUGUGAACUUCGUGAUAAGGUUCGUUGUGAACUUCCCAAUUAAGCAAUUUAUCCAAUUUAUCUUUCGAACUUACCAAACUAAAUUGGGAUAAUCAAAUUUAUACCCAAUAAGAUCUUCUUUCAAUCUCACUUAUCUAACUAUUCCCCUGAGUCAUCAUUUCUAGGUUUCUAAGUCCAUUCAAUUUAAUCAAAUUUUUAUGAUCUAGUCUCUAAACCUAAAAAUCAAUCAAUUGACACUUCAAUUAAUCAACCAAAAUUAGAUUUAGUUCAUAACCAUCAUAACUUUACAAAACCCAAUCAAUUUAAUGCUAAAUUAAGCAAUCAAAUAACACAAAUGAGGUAAGAGUUGAGAAAUGCUUAGUAAUUUUGGAAAAAUCCUUGAAUUGAUAAAUGAAAAGUAUGAUUAAUAUUGAAAUUCCAUAACUUAAUCACCAAAUUGUAGGUUUGGAUAACAAAAGUAUUAAAAAUCUAUGGAAAUUCUAAAGCCAAUCCCAAAAGGUACAAGGAAGUCUCUGUACUUUUUGAGCUAAAUGAAGUACAUGUACAAAAAAAUGUAAAAGAGAAUUUUAAAAAUCUAAAAUUAAAAGAGAAAGUACUAAGGAAUCUAAAUGGUUGUAUGUUUUCCUUCUUUUGUCAUAAAGUUACUUAAAUAGUUUGACACAAAUUAACUUGAGAAUGACAAAAUUGCCCUUUAAUGAUAAAUGACUUAAUUUUAGCUAGACAUCAAUUUGCCUUUGUAGAAUUUCACUUGUCAGGCCUUGGUGUUGCGACAUCCUUGAUACUCAGCUUCAGAGGUUGUUUGGGAUCUUUAAUUUCAUGAUCGUAAGCUUCCGACAUCGUGACUUGGUACUCAGGUGACCUAUCUUCCUUACUUUGAUGUUUGGGCUUGGGGUUGCGACGUCUGUGGCUUGAAGUUGCGACCAUGGAGGCCGAUUUCAUGACAUCAAUCACUUGGUGUUGUGACAUCAAAGGUAGGCCACUUAGAAUGCGAUUUGUUGAAGUCCGACUCCUCAAGUGAUGAUGGAGGCAUUUGUGUCGCGACACUAAGUCAAUAGUGUCACAACCUUGGCCAUAGUGGAAGCUUUUCUUCACAUGUUUGCAUUAACCGUAUUCUUGCACAAGCUUAAUUCAACAUUAAACAUCCAAUGUCAUAAAUUUUCCAUUUUGAUACUAAAAAGCUCUUUAAGUGUCAAAAAAGAUUCAUAAAAUACUUGAGAAUGAGCUCUUUUAGUGUCUAAAGGGCUUAAAUUUAUGUAUCAAAUUACGACAGAUCAAUUGGAAAAGAUUUAGGGUUACUGGAAAAAUCCUUAUUAAACUGAAUGUAAGAAAGAUCAGGAUUUAUUAGUUAGUGAAACAUGGUAGGACAAAAUUGAUUUUUUUGUUAAAGUUCAAACAGGCUAUAAUUUAAUUUUUGAGAGAAGCUGAUAAAGAUAGAGUUAUAUUACAUCUAGUCUAUGAAAAGUGGAACUCAAGGAUGAAAAAAAUUAAGGAAAUAAUAUUCAGUCGUGAGGACCAAGACUUGAUAACUGACACUCAAAGUUUUUUUACGUAAUCCAAAAAGUUCUUAAGGGUAGGUAAAAUAAAAGUAACAGACCUAUUCACUACAUGGCUCACUUGCUAGUUCCAAAAUUUUAUACUAUAGAAUAACUUCAAGGCAGAAGUGGUAACUUUCCAUAAAAACCCCAAAUGAAGACGAAGAAGUCACAUUGCAUAAAGAUAAAUGUUUUCAAAAGUUCUUCACUGAUGCAGAUGAUAUUUGAAAGGUGUACUCUGAAUAUGAUGCCUUUAAUUGUGGGUUGGGUUACUUUAGUUAACUUCGUGUUAUUGCAACAAGAUCCCUUUAGACUUCUUUCUCAACCCACAUCUUCAUCUUGUUGUGAAAGAUAUUUGAGUAUUUAUUCCUUGAUGCAAACAGUCAAGAGGAACAAAUUAUUAUAGUUUACCUUUGAAUAUUUGGUUUUUUUUUCACAUUCAAAUUUUUUUUGUUAUCUUAAGAGAACGACAAGUAUAAAAUAGGUCCAACUUCAUUUUGGGAUAUAGGUAUGCAUAUUGUUUUAUUUUUUGUAUAAUUAAUUAUAUUUAAGCAUACUAUUAGACUAUUUUUACUUACUUUGAUUUUUCAAUAGAAAAAUAAUAGGUGGAGAUAAUAUGGAUGAAGAGAAUUUGCUCGAAGUUACAAAUCUUUCAUUGAAUGAUCCUAAAAUAAAAGUUGUAGCUUUCGACUUAGAAGGGAAAGAAAGAAACUGUUAGAAUUGAGUGACUCGAAUCCUUAUUAAAAUAAAAUACAGUGGUAAAAUAAAAUAAAAGUAAAAUCCAUACCGAAUUACAAUUCUUUUAUUUUAUUUUAUUUUAGAAUAAGGUUUUUUAACCUUAUUACACUUCAUCUAUUUGAUAUUGAUUAGAAUAAGGUGCUUCAACCUUACUACACUCAUUCUAUUAGAAUAUGGUUUUACAAGCCUAUAUAUAGACAUAGUCUAUUCCUCUUGUAAUCAUUCGAAUUCGAUUUAGUGAGUUAUCUUCUCUUGUGGUUUUUUUGAAAGGGUUUCCACGUAAAAUCUGUGUAUUCUUUAUUUUUCUUUCUCUUUUCUUUGCGAUACAUUGUUAUUAUCGACAUUCUAUUUUUUACAAAUUGAUAUCAGAGAUUUUUGGGUUACUUAUCUUAAUCAUGGUAAUAGCGUUGCUGAAGUAUGAAAUUCUGCUGUUGGAUCGCAACACCAGAUUCGCAUUGUGGCAGAUUAAGAUACAAAGAGUUCUUGCGCAGAUGGAUUUGGAGGAUGCCCUACUAGGGAUAGAUAAGAUGUCUUUGACAUUGAUGGAUGAAAAAAAGAAGCGUAAGGAUCGAAAGGCUUUGACACAAUUACAUCUAAAUUCAUCUAAUGAAAUUUUGCAGGAUGUGAUGAAUGAGAAGACCACUAUUGCAUUAUGGAAGAGGCUGAAGCAUCUAUGUAUGUCAAAAAAUCUACCCAGCAAGCUGUAUAUGAAGUAGCGUCUUUAUGCUCAUCGUUUGGAAGAAUAUGCAUCUGUGCACAAACACUUAAUAGUGUUUAAAGAAAUUCUAUCAAACCUUGAGGUCGUAGAGGUUCAGCAUGAUAAAGAAGAUCUAGGGUUGAUUCUGCUUUGUUCGUUGCCCUCGUCUUAUUCAACCUUUAGAGACAUGAUUUUAUAUAGCUGCGAGUCUCUCAUAGUUGAUGAGGUUUAUGAUUAUUUGAUCUCGUGUGAUAAGAUGAAGUAUCUUAUGGUUAAACCUAACUCUCAGGGAGAGGGUCUCAUUGUUCGUGGGAGACAAGAUCAAAAUGCUGAUGAUGAUCGUGGAAGGACACAGGAACGGAAUCCUCGCGGUAAAUCUAAGGGAAGAUCGAAGUCUUCAAACAGAGGUCAAACUUGUAACUUUUUUAAAAAGAAGGGACACAUUAAAUUUGAGUGUUUUAAGCCGCAGAACAAGAUCAAAAGAAAGACUGCCAAUCAAAAGAGCAAACAACCAGAAAAACUUAGUGAAGUUGAUAUUGUAGAAUACUACAGCAACAGUGAACUUCUAGUCGUUUCUGUCAACAAUUUUAAAGUGAGUGAGGAGUGGAUCCUUGAUUCGGCCUGCACCUUCCAAAUAAGUCCCAAUCGAGAUUGGUUUACAACUUUCGAAAUAGUGUCUGAAGAUGUUUUUUGAUGGGAAAUAAUGCUUCGUGUAAAAUCACAGGUGUUGGAAUGUUUAAAUUUAAGAUGUUUGACGGAGUUGUCAGAACACUUAGUGGCAUACGACAUAUUCCAGAAUUGAAGAGAAAUUUGAUUUUGUUGAGUACUUUUGAUUCAAAAGGAUACAAAUACACAACUAAAAGUGGGGUUUUGAAUAUUUCCAAUGGUUCCCUCAUUGUGAUGAAAUGUUAGAGAAGACUGCCAAGUUAUAUGUUUUGUAGGGUUCUACUAUUACUGGUAAUGCAGCUGUCGCUUUCUUUUCCUUUUCAGAUGAUGAUAUUACUAGAAUUUAGCAUAUGCGCAUAAGGCAUAUGAGUGAGAAUGACUUGGCAGAAUUGAACAAAAGAGGACAUCUUGAUGGUCAAGGAAUUUGCAAACUGAAGUUUUGUAAGCACUGCAUUUUUUGGAAGCAAAAUAGAGUUUGAUUCACCAGAUGAAUCCACAACACGAAGAGAACAUUGGAGUAUAUUCAUUUUGAUCUGUGGAGGCCAUUCAGAGCGCCUUCGAGAGGUGAAACUAAUUAUAUGCUAACUUUUAUUGAUGAUUUUUCUAGAAAAGUUUGUGCAUUCUUCCUAAAGUAGUAAAGCGAUGUGUUUUUUACAUUUAAGUCUUGGAAAACUAUGAUUGAAAAAUAUAAGCAAAAACAAAUAAAACACUUCCGCACAGAAAAUGGCUUAGAGUUAUGUUCUGAUGAGUUUAAUGAAUUGUACAAGUCAGAAGAGAUCGUGAGACACUUGACAGUUCAUCAUACUCCACAGCAAAAUGGUGUUGCAGAAUGAAUGAACAGAAUGAUUAUGGAGAAAGUUCGAUGUAUGUUGUCGAAUGCCAACUUACCAAAGUCAUUUUGGGCUGAAGCAACUUCUACUACAUGUUUUUUAAUCAAUCGAUCUCCAUCCAUUGCCAUUGAGAAAAAGACUCUACAAGAGGUAUGGUCAGGUAAUCCUGCUGAUUAUUCUAAUUUAAAGAUCUUUGGGUGUCUUGCGUAUGGUCAUGUUGAUAAUGGAAAAUUGAAACUGAGAUCCAUUAAAUUUGUUUUCCUUGGUUAUAAAGCUAGUGUAAAAGGGUAUAAGUUAUGGUUUCCUGAAAAUAGAAAAGUUGUGAUUAGUAGAAUUUUUUUUCAUGAAACUGCUAUGCUACCUAACGUAUCUCUUAAAUACUCUUCCAAUAAAGAAAAGCAAAAGCAGGUAGAGCAUCAGAUUAAUUCAGAACCCACAAUAGAGUCGACUCCUUAAGCCAGUACAAAAAUUCAGAAUAAAGUUACUUUUUCACCACAAUACUCUAUCGCAAAAAACAAAACUAGAAAAGAGAUUAUACCUCCAAAGAGGUAUGCCGAGGCUGAUCUAGUUGCUUAUGCUUUAAAUGUGGCUAAAGAUAUAGAUGCAAACUAAGAGCCAUAUACUUAUUCUAAGGCCAUUAACUGUGAAAACUCAGAAAAAUGGAUGUUUGCUAUGCAAGCGGAGAUGAAAUCACUCCACAAAAAUAAAACAUGGGAUCUUGUGAAGCUUCCUAAAGGCAAAAAGGUUAUUCAUUGUAAAUGGGUGUUUAAAAAGAAAGAAGGAACUCCGGGAGUUGGAGAACCCAAAUAUAAAGCAAAACUUAUUGCAAAGGGUUACAGUCAAAUUCUAAAAGUGGACUUCAUAGAUAUGUUCUCCUCAAUUGUAAAGCAUAAUUCGAUUUGAGCUUUACUUGGUAUUGUGGCCAUGCAUGAUUUGGAGCUUGAAUAGUUAGAUGUAAAAACUGCAUUUUUUGCAUGGAGAACUUGAGGAAGAUAUUUACAUGCAACAACUAAAGGGUUUACAGUCUAAAAGGAAGAGGACUAUGUUUGCUUGCUAAAAAAGUCAAAAGCCCUUUUACAAUUUGAAACAAUCACCAAGACAGUGGUACAAGAGGUUUGAUUCAUUUAUUACUUCUCAUGAUUUCAAAAGAAAUAGCUUUGACAGUUGUGUUUACUUUAAGAAAAAUAGUUAUGGUUUUUUUGUGUAUCUACUCCUCCAUGUUGAUGACAUGUUGAUAGCAGUCAAAGAUAAAUGAGAGAGAAGAAAGGUCAAAGCCCAACUAAGUGAAGAAUUUGAGAUGAAAGAUUUGGGGCUAGCAAAUAAGAUACUUGGUAUGGAGAUUCUCAAGGAUAGAAAAAUAAGAAAAUUGUACAUAAGUUAGAAGGGGUACAUUGAGAAAGUUCUUUACAAGUUCAAUAUGCAGAGUGCUAAGCAUGUUAGCACUCCUUUACCAGCCUAUUUCAGGCUUUUAUCAGUUUUGUCUCCACAAUCAGAUUAUGAAAUUGAGUACAUGUCACAUGUUCUAGAUUCUAGUGUAGUGGGAUCUCUAAUGUAUGCUAUGGUUUGUUCAUGUCCAGAUUUAUCAUAUGUAGCCAGUGUAGUUAGCAAAUACAUGGUAAAUCUCAAUAAAUAACACUAGAAAGCAGUUCAGUGGAUUUUAAGAUACUUACGAGGUACUUCUGAUGUUUGCUUACAGUUUGGAAGAACUAGAGAUGGAGUCAUUAGGUAUGUUAGUGCUGAUUUUGGUGGAGACCUUGAUAGAAGAAGAUCUCUCAUAGGUUAUGUCUUUACAAUUGGAGGUUGUGCAAUCAGUUGGAAAGCCACUUUGCAAACUAUAGUAGCUUUGUCUACCACUGAAGCUGAGUACAUGACGAUUACUGAGGCUUGUAAAGAAGCCAUUUGGUUGAAGGGACUCUUUAGUGAACUCAAUGAAGACCUUCAAAUUAGUACAAUAUUUUGUGACAAUCAAAAAACCAUUUUACUUACAAAAGAUCAAAUGUUUCAUGAGAGAACAAAGGACAUUGAUGUUCGGUAUCAUUUUGUUCGUGAUAUUAUUGCUCGUGGUGAUAUUGUUGUGAGCAAAAUUAGUACUCAUGAAAAUCCUACAAAUAACAUUACUAAGUUUGAGCAUUACUUAGACUUGGUUGGUGUUCAUUAUCGAAGUUAAACCCUUAAGGGGUUUUAUAGAAGAGGUGGAGAACUUGUUCGUUGAGAGUUCAUGAUGAAGAACUUGUUCAUUAAGUAUUCGUGUCAAGGUGGGGAUUGUUAGAAUUGAGUGACCCGAAUCCUUAUUAAAAUAAAAUACAAUGGUAAAAUAAAAUAAAAGUAAAAUCCAUAUGAAACUACACUUCUUUUAUUUUACUUUAAAAUAAGGUUUUUCAACCUUAUUACACUUCAUCUAUUUGAUAUUGAUUAGAAUAAGGUGUUUCAACUUUACUAUACUCACUCUAUUAGAAUAUGGUUUUACAAGCUAUAAAUAGACAUAGUCUACUCCUCUUGUAAUCAUUCAAAUUCAAAUUAGUGAAUUAUUUUCUCCUUUGCCCGUGGUUUUUUCCCGAAAGGGUUUCCACGUAAAAUCUGUGUUCUUUAUUUUUCUUUUUCUUUUCUUUGCUCUAAAUUGUUAUUAUCGACAUUCUAUUUUUCACAGAAACAUUGAUGAUCAUGGCAAGAAAGUUGAAUAAAUUUGAGGAGUUUUGUAUUUUAUUAUCUUAAAAAUUAUUUAAUUUAUCAUAUUUUAGAUUUUUACUAUAUGUUUUAUGUUAUUAUGAUAUAUUAAAUCUUUUGGGUUUUGCUAUAUCAAAUUUUUAUUAUAUAACAAUGUUUAAUUUAAAUAUUUUUAAAUGUGAGACGACGUGUCGUUCUGUCGUUUUUAACUUUUGGAAAGUGUCUAAGUGUUUGUGUCUUAAAUUUAGACAGUGUCCCUGUGUCCGAGAUUUCAAGAAUUACCGUGUCUUAAGUCCAAUUAACAUAGAUUAUAACCCUAAAAUUGGAUGUGAAAUUAAAAUUAACUAUUUAAUUUAUGUUUAGAUUUGAAAAAUAAAAGUAGUGGGAAAGGGAUAAAUCAAUAUUUGGUCAUUAAAUUUGGUAAUUUUUUCAAGUUGGUCAUUAAACUUUUUUGGUCCAUAGCAAUCUUGGUACUUGGCAAUUGUUUUUUUUCAAUUUGUUCCUGCAACUUAGAUUACAUUAAAGUCACAUCACACUUUCUCAAAAUGUCACAUGACCACUUAAAAUUAUUUUUAAAAAUUAUAUACAAUUCAAAAAAUAUAUAAAGAUAUUAUAUUUUAUUUUAUUUAAAAAAUUUAGGUAAUGACGUAGUUUAAGAUUAUACCACAUCAUCAUACGUAAUUAAAUUUAAAAAUUAAAUUAAAAACAACUGUGAAAAUUUUAGCAAUAAAAUGAAAAUAAAAUUGAAAACAAUGAAAAUAACCAAAUUUAAAGAUUAAAUAUUAGUUUUUAACCCAUAUUCAAAUAUGUACUUUGUAUUUCGUGUUUGAGGUGUGUGUUUCAUAUGAUAAUUGUCUGGUGUACAAGAUUAUUAAAUAUGAAGGCGAACGUGGUGACUAUGACGCAUGCGGGGUGUUAAAGUGGUAGGCAACGUCAUAUUCAUUAUCCAUUGUCUACUCCUAUUCCUAAUCCCUCCAUUCACUACUAUCAAAGGUAGACAUCCCUUGCCUUUCCUUGGAAAAUUCCCAUAUUUCAUAUAUUUUAUAUCUUAUUUAUAUAAAUUUUAAUCUCUCAAUAUUCAUAUUAAUUUAUAUAUUAUAUUGGUUUUCCUUUUCAUAUUAAUUUUUUUAUAGGUAUAAACACUGUGGAGUUUGAACUUUCAAGAAAACGUUAAGGUCACGAAAGCUUUUAUUGUAUCUUCCUAAGGAUUGUUAAUUAGUCACAAGACUUUCAACCGUCACCGAUGCUGUCAGUUUCACUUGCCAUUAUAAUAUCUCUAUUUUAAACAUUUUAUUAUUAUUUUCCGUGAAUCAAAUUUCAUAACAUUUUCUCUAUUAUUAUUAUAAAUAAAUAUGUGGAAUGCUUUACUUUCUUUAUAUUUUACUUUCAUUAUAUUUUACUUUAAUUAACAUUAUGCUUUUGGUGUAAUUUGGAUCAGCGUAGAUGUUAACUUUUUUUGAUAAUAUUAUUAUACUAAUAACUGUGAAAUGAAAAUAGAAAAUCAUCAUUAAAAAAAUAAUAUUAAAAAGAGUGUAUAUAAACAUUAAAUAAAUGUCUAUGAUAAUUUGACUAAAAAAAAUGUCUAAAUGAUAAAAAUAAAAAAUAUAUUUAUAUUAAAAAUAAAAUUUUAAAAUUUUAAAUGCAUUUUUAUUAAAAAAAUUAAAAUUAUUUGAUAAUAACUUUUUUUUUAACCAACUGAUACUAUUAUUGAUUUGAAGAAGUAAUAAAUGUGGUUACCAGUCUCAAAAGAAGGAAAUAAAAACUGUCAAAAUAUAAUUGGACACCAAAACGGUGCCUUGAGAAAGCAAAAAUAAACACAAUUAAAAACUAUUCCAGAAGCUUGUAAAGUAAAAUGAAUUGGCAGAAAUGAAACUUAGCUCUGGUAACCCUUCUUCUCCCUCAUUUAAACCAAAACCCCCUUGUAUCAGCCAUUGAAGAGACCCAUUCCCUCCCAGAAUCAAAUCUUUCUAGAGCCACAGUCUCUGACAAAAUCUCGAGUUCAUCGGGCAAUCAAAAUCACUGAGCCCGGACUCUACCUCUUCAUCUAUCCUCCAUAACCAUCGUUUCGUCUCUCUUGAUUCACCAGGUUUUCCACUGCAGGCGGUACCUUCUCUAUCCAGUAUCGAGGGUGCUAAAAUCGGAUUCCUUCCUUUGCCAUCUCAUGAGUAGCGUUGUUGGCUUCCCUAGGUACGUGCUUGAAACACAAUCUCCUAAACUUGAAAACUCUCCCCUUGAUUUCUUUAAUCAAACUGCUAAUACACGAUCGAUCUUCUUCUGCAGAGUUCAGUUUUCGUAUAAUAGUAAGCGCAUCUCCUUCAACACAAACAUCCUAAAAACCCAGCUCUUCUGCCAUUACAAUAGCUUGUAAACAUGCCCGUGCCUCAUCCAUUAAUGGAUCUAAAAUAUUAUCCCAUGGAAAGUUACAGGCUGCCAUAGGCAAACACUCUUUAUCUCGUGCAAUGAUACCUGAAAUAGAGCUUCUUGUGAUUCGGUUAAAUGAGGCGUCGAAAUUAAUUUUGAUGGUGUCAUUAUCCGGCGGUUGCCAGACUGAGUCUUUAAUUUCAUGUGUAUUUUGUAAUAUCUCCCCCAUACUAGAAAUUUCUGCAUAGUAAGCCUUGACAAAUCCAACAACUUCAUGUACCUGCUCUCUGACUCCUUCAUGAUAUAGAUUGUUGCGAUUAUACCAGAUGGCCCAGUAAGCGAUAGAUUUAAUGUUGCAUGCUUCCAGACUCGUAUUUUCAAAAUCCGCUACUAACCAUGUUUUCCAAUUGGCUUGUCUGUUGCAUGUUGAAAAUGGCAUCUCCAAACCCCGCAAAACCUGCUGUGUGAAGGGACACUCCCUAAAAAGAUGGUACACCGACUCCUCCUCAGAUCUGCAUACCGGACAUAAAGGAUUGACAGCCAAUUGGCGAGCUUUUAGAUUAUGCAAAGUGGGUAAAUAGUUGUUAGCAAUUCUCCACAUAAAAAUACGAAUUUUGCUUGGCACCUGGAGCUCCCAUAAUUUUGUAAAAAAAUUAGCAGGAAGUUCAUUAUGUAUUCUAGUACCCCCCCUCUGUAAUUAGC
rnacentral:lncRNA from 1 species